UUUUUUUUUUUGUAAAAAUAUAUUACCGGUUAUUUUGGUUUGUUUAUUGAAUACUAUUUGUAGAAAAUGUAAAGUUUCCAUAUAAAAAGCAAAAAUUAUUAAAAGUUUGACAUAUCUAGAAUACUAUGUCUCAAGUAAAAUUAAAUAGAUUGACUAUAUUAUCAAUUGAAAAGGAGUCAUUAGAAGAAAAAAAUUUAUGAGAAAACUAUUCAUUUUAUAUCUCAAAAAGCUAGAAGAAUACACAUCUUAAAAAAAUAUAAUAUUUUUGGAAAAACUUUUAAGGCCUCUAUUUGAAUUUAAUUUAGCUUUAGGCAACUAGUGUGCUUAAGCUGCACAACUAAUACUUACUAGUGAGCUUAAGCCGCAGAAGACACCUAAUAAAGUUUCAAAAGACAUCUAUUUAAAAGAAUAUUAUAUAUCACAUGCACAUGUUCAACAAAAAAAUUUGCACAUCACUCGGCACCAAAGCUGCAACCAACAUAAGUUUGGGUGAUUAUGUUAAGACGAUUUUGCAUGACAUCCAUAGACGGAUAAGGAGGAAAACACAGGCGGUAAAAGCAUGUGUGCGAGGAAGGCAAGCAAUCAUGAGAGUCUAAAGUUUGGUAGAUGUGAAGUUUAGAAUCUAGACCACCAAAACCCUCAACAGGCAGAGACUUGAUUGAAGUCCAGAAGAAGAGAAGCACAUUUCUCUGCUCAGCCGACAUACUUCCAACUAUCUGCAACAAUAAAAAAAAAACUUUAAAAAUAUUGGUGGGAUAAUAACUUUGAAGGAGCAAAGGGGCAAAGGGGCAAAGGUGUAGACUUCUCAAUAGUUAACACUUUGGAAACAUACUUAGUAGCAGACGAGAAAUAAGUACCUCCCAGAACCAGGAUAUUUGAGGAUCAUCUUUUUUGUAGCCACUGUAAUUUGUAUGUUCUUUCCAGUCUUCGACAGAAACAGCUGUUUUACACCCAUGAAGCAUUUGUUAAGGUCUUCAUGAUCUAGGAUCUGGUAAAAGGAUUCCCGGAGCCGUCGGUCAGUAAUUAUGUCAGCAAAACCACGAGCAAAAUGGGCUACCUGAUGAGCAAUUGAUGUGACAAAACGGUGUUUAACCAGAAGAUUAACAUAGUUGUCCCUAUUCUCACUGUUCACUAUCGUAUUUUUCCCAUUAGGGCAAAGCUCCACCACUUUCCUGGAUCCCAAUUGUUCGUCUUCACAAACAAAUGUUAGGCCUAGGAUAUCUUCAUCCACUAUCUUCGUAUCCAUCUCCAGUAUCUUCUUGCAUCCACUGUACAAGUAGGGAUCUGCAUCCCUAAUGUCUUCAAACGACAUAUCCUCUCCAACUAAUUGCGAAAAGAACACACGAUCAAAGGCAAUGCUUAUUUGUACUCUAUGCAACAAGGCCAACGCAAUCAUCCUCCCGGAGAAGAUUAAAUACUCAAGGUGCAAGGGGUCCACUUUAGAUGCUGCAAGCACAAAAUGCAAAGAUGAUGGUUAUUUUGCAUUAUAACAGAGAGAAUAAUAUAAAUUUUCGUGAAACAUCAAAAUAUUGUAUCGAACAGCUUGCAGCCAUCUUAUAAAUGCAGUUGUGCAAGAUUCAUCCUAAUCUAGACAGUUAAUGAAUAUUGGAAGAAUUAACAAAAGGAAAGAAAAACUCAGUUUUUCUGCUUUAUAUUGAAAUGAGUUCAGUUAUGUUAAGUUGAGUUGAUCCUUGUAAGUUCUUCAGUUCAUUUUAGAUUCUUUUCAAGAUUAAAUUGUGUUUAGCAUUCCAACUCGCAUACUCGUACAUUCAAUGUACUGAUGCCAGUUGGCCUGCAUCUUAUUAAGAUGCAGACACAUGUAACUAGGAUCGGCACCCAGCGCAUCGUUGAUUCAAUUAAGAUUCAGAGUUGUUGGUGAGCCUCCUUGCAUUCCAAAAGAUCCCCUUUUUUCAUUACUUUAUCAUUUUAGCUCAUUAGGAUGUCGUGGGCCAGUCCCGACAUCCAUCUCAGUUGUUUUAGAGGAUUCAUAGCUAGUCAGUUAGAUGUUAGUUCACUCUUCAUCAUUUUGUUAUUGGCUUAUGUUCAGAUUUGAGUUGCCAUUUUGGCUAAGUUAAAUGUUUAUUUUUAAAACAUUAUGAGUUCAGUUUGAGACAUGUUGAGUUAUCUUGUUUUUGGAUUCUCUUUCUUAUGUCUAAGUCUUCUGCAGAGUAAGUAAGCCAGGCCAAGGGUUUUCUUGGGGCCAACAAUGGUUCUCGAGUGCCGGCCACGUCCAUGGUGUAGGCUCGAGGUGUGACACUUGAACUCUACUCUUAACUCUCUCUUGAAUGUGAAUUAUGAAUUAUGAAUUCAAGAGUUAUGGUUCAUGAUAUGAAGGAUCUUGUGAUGAUAAAGUAAACUCAUGAAUACAUUCUCAUACUCACUUGCUCGAGUCUUCAUUCUCAUACUCACUUUCUCGAGUCUUGAAACAAGUUAUUAGAAAUUGUAGAAGACUCCUCAAAGUGACUUUCUCAAAAAUGUUCGAAAGAAUUCUCAAACUUGACUCUCAACUCUACCUUGAAUGUGCUUUAUGAAUUCAAGGUUGCGAUUUGUGAUAGGAAAGAUCUCGUGAUAUAUAUGAGUGUUUUAGAUAGUUAAACAUGAGAAACGAUCAAGAAAUCACUGUCUGGAAGCAAGUCCGUGACGCGGAGAUGCAUUUUAAUAUUUGGUCAUGAAUUAACUUUUGAGGCAGAGAGGUCCGUAAACUCUUUGCGACGCAAAGAAAAUUUAUGUGAAAGGGGAAGGCAGGUCCGCGACGCGGAGCAAGGUGCCAGAUUCGCCCCACUUUUUCCUUCUUCAUUUUCUAACCCCAAUUCGCCUAAAUUCGAUUCUUUUACUCAACUUCACUUUAGAUUCAGAUACCCAACACAUGUAAACUAGAAUCUAACUCAAAAUAACUCUAUAAAUCGACGCAAUAAUACCAAGAACUUCUCAAUCUCAGCCAAUUCAAGAACGAAAGCAAAUUCAAGAACACAUAUCAAGAACACCAAACUUUCAACUUCCUAGAACGAAUUUAACGCUGAAAUUAACAUGAUUGGCAUGUGGGUGAAUAAACCCAACACCAUGGAAGCUUACAUACCUGAAAGAACCAUCUUUUUUAAGAACUUGAAGGAAAAUCUUGGGAGAUGAACCCUAGCCUUAGCAUUUCUUGAUUUCCUUGAGCUUAGAAUUUUUUUUUGAAGUGGAUGAGAAGGUUUAAUUUAUGAAACCUGAUUUUUCUACACGUUUAGGACAAUUUAGAUGACUUCCUUAGGGUUUUUAGGACAAAAAUACCCCUAAAGAAAUAAAUAAAACGAGCUGGGAGUUGGAAUAAAUUUUCACCAGGCAGUGAGGUCCGUAUUGGCUCCAUAACGGGGAGCCAUCGCGGAGAUGCUGCCAGGUUUGGACGUCGUUAGUAAAUUAGUCAUAACUUUUUACUCAGAGAUCGAAAUUUAGUAAACUCGGUGGCGUUGGAAAGAGGACUCGAAGGGAUUUAAUUUUCCAUCUUGUAGCUCACCUAACUCAUCUUAUACUGGGAGUUAUGGUCGUUUGAAGUUGACCCAAAUCUUAGAAGAACUUAGGAAGUGCUUGAAUGAACUCUCUUUAGUUCUUCUUGAAACUUAAGGUGCUACAUCUAGUGACCUUAACACUAAAGAAAUUUUAAUCCUCGGUAAAAAUACUACUCACAACAAAGGAUGGUUCGAGUCUCAGUUCAAUUUUUUUUUUGGGGUGUUACACACACUUCACCUCAAGUCACCCACCUUUUUCUCCUGCAGACUCUACCAUAUAAGUCAUUAUAUCCUCAUAUCAAAUCAUAGCCCAACUCUUGUCUAUCACAUAGAGAAUCCCCCCAACUCUGCUAACGACCAACUAUACUUCUUGAAUAGAAAUAUAAAUGGUCGUAUGCAAUAUAUUUACCCAACUAUGAGUGAGGGUCGAUCCCACAAAGAAUAUGGAAGAAUAUUGUCAAUAACAAAUAUUUAACUCGAUAGUCGUUAUUGAAAAAGGGGGAAUUUAAAUUGAAACAAAAAUAAAAAGAAUAAAAAUAGCUUGGAACUAAGUAUUUAUAUAUAUUUAGAUUAUUAGAAAUAACUAGGAAUAUUUUCCCCAUGAUUUCAUAACAUAGCAAGAAUAGUGUACUAGUGAUCUAUUUCAAUUUUUAGCAUGCAAGGUUGGUAAGUUAUGUAUCUCCUAAGUGAUUGGGUCCUCCAAGUAGGGAAUUUCACCACGCAACUUGGUCCGUCUAUUAGAUUGGGUCCAUCUAUUAGAUUGGUCCGUCUCCUAAGUGAUUGGGUCCUCCAAGUAGGCUUACCCUUAACCCCAGAUUAGCCCCGGUAGGUGGAUCAGACUAUUAGCUAGCGAAUUAUCACAUCUAAAUCUCCGUUGUUCAAUCCCUUUCUCAUUCAUUACUUCCUUGGUCCGACAAGUAGGAGUGAGGAAAAUUCUAACGUUGCGCACCGUUAAAAAGCAUUCAAAACGAAAGAAUUAACAAUACAUGCAUAAAAAUCAUUCAAGAAUCACUUUGUACAUAAACUUACUUUAAUAAUUCAUCAUGGUUCCCACAACCCUAGUUAUGAAAUUUAGCUACUCAUUAUCUAAAAAACACAAUCAAAAUUUACUAAAAUAAAUAUGCUUGUGUUAAUCCAAAAAAUUUAAGAACAAUAGCUAAAAUAUAUUUCAAUAAUAAAAAAUACAAAUAAAUAAUAAAGGAGGGAGAAAAAAGAAUAAACUAGAACCGGCCUCCACGACGGCUCUUCCAAAGCUCCUAAGAUAUAGGGUUCUAAAUUAUGUGUUGUGUAUUGUGUAUUGUUUCUUGGUUCUUCGUUUCCCGAAGAAUAAUCUGUUAUGACCUAUUUAUAGAUAUAAAAUUAAUCCUAAAUAAAAUAAUUGAGAUCAAGACAAAUUAGAAAACCAAAAGCCAAUUGAAUUGGGUUUUCUUUGUUGUAUGCGUAAAAGUAAUGUAAACCGCAUUAGUUUUUUUGUUACUGACUCAAUAAUUGCCACGGAGCAAUAAGAAGAUAAUCAAAUUUGGUAAUUCUGCAUCUAACCAACUUUAUAUAUACAUAUAUUAUUAUAUUAAAAUUAAUUCAUUGCUCAAUUUUCUUCUAUGAUUUCUUAUUUUAAUUCCUUUGUGCUCCAAAUUACUUCAUCUUGACACCAUAUUAAUCUUACAAAUAACACAAUAUAAGAAUAAUCCAUAAAUUUUAUGCUAAAAAUGAUAAUAAAAAGCUUAAAUAUGAGGCAAAUAAUGAUUAAAUAUAUUUAUUUUUGGCCUCACAUCAACGCCCCACACUUAAACUUUUGCUCGUCCUCGAGCAAACAUUAAAGCUCAUAAGAAAAAUCAAACUCGGAAUACCACCACUGUAAUGACCGGUUCCCAACGGGGAAAUUUUUUGGGCCGGAAAACUUUUUCUUAGUAACUUGGGAUUUCCCAACCUAGUCCAGAUUUGGACGAAAUCGGAGUCAGUGAGGUCUAGGGAAAUCUGGUAACAAUUGGGUGAUCUAAUUAUGAUUCUGAUCAGGUGAAUAGAUAGCUAAGACGGUAAGGAACCCAUACGACUUUAUGGAAUUGAAUUCGGGCGAGUAGAACUCCUGAAAUUGAUCUUAGCGUGAACGAGUAGUUUUCGAGUGUCAUCGAUUGAAAGUAUGUUGUGAAAUGGGGGUUUUGGAAUUCUUAAAAUUGUUCACUGUGUCCAUGCAGGCCGCUGUAGGAGGGUGAGUGCCGCCAUAGCGGGACAGUCGCGACUUAAGUCGGAAAUAAACCCCUAAAACAUUUUAUUCUGUACUUUUCAACUUUGAGAGCUAAGGAACGACCCCAUGUGUUUUCUUGAAAGUUUUCCACCAUUCGUAAGGCUAUAGGUAAGAUUUUCACUCCCUGUAUCCAUUUUUUGAUCCGUAGAACUUAGUUUUGUGGUUAAUUAUCGAUGGGGAGAGUUUUGAUCUAGAAAUUAUGGUGGAAAAAGCCCUAAUCUGGGUAUGGGGGAUCAAGAGUUUGAUCUAGGGUUGAUAGAUUUGAUGGUAAUUCGGGCAAUUAGAUAUUGUUUAUUGGUUCUCGUAUUAUAUUAAAUGUUGUAUACCAAGAACAAGCAGAACGAAUCUGGAAAGGGAAGAAUCAAGUUACUUAGGGGAUUUAAGCUUGUUUCUAGGUAGGUGAUGGUUGUUAUUUCAUGUCGUAUGAUGUAUGUUUGUUCUUGCUUCAUUAUAAUACGUGUAUGUAUGCUAAUGUAGCAUUAUUGAUCACACUAGUUGUAAAUGAGGAUAGAUGAAUGAUGAAUGCAAUGAAUCAUGACUUGAUUGUAUGAUUUUGAGAAUAUACAUGUGAUUGCGAUUGUUGCUUGUUGAAUGGAUCGCGUGUUGCAUUCCGACAUACUAACUAGGAUCGGUUGCCACGUUUCGGCAUCAACAUGGGUUCGAUUGCUGAUGCUUAUCGUGACCAAUGACACUAACCUAUGGUUCGAGUGUCUACGAUCGCCGAUAGUAUAGUAACCUAACUGAAAGUUGGGGACGUGUCCCAAGGGAGUGGUUUUGAGAAUUGAUAGAAAAAUAAAAUUUAGCUCUAACUAGUCAUAGCUAAAGAUAUUAACGAUUAAAAACAUAGUAAAUUAAAGGGGGUGACACAAAAGUGUCAAAUAUCAAAGGGGGUUUUGUCACAAGUAGCUAAAACAACAAAAAUAAAGAGAAAAUCAAGUAUGGNNNNNNNNNNNNNNNNNNNNNNNNNNNNNNNNNNNNNNNNNNNNNNNNNNNNNNNNNNNNNNNNNNNNNNNNNNNNNNNNNNNNNNNNNNNNNNNNNNNNNNNNNNNNNNNNNNNNNNNNNNNNNNNNNNNNNNNNNNNNNNNNNNNNNNNNNNNNNNNNNNNNNNNNNNNNNNNNNNNNNNNNNNNNNNNNNNNNNNNNNNNNNNNNNNNNNNNNNNNNNNNNNNNNNNNNNNNNNNNNNNNNNNNNNNNNNNNNNNNNNNNNNNNNNNNNNNNNNNNNNNNNNNNNNNNNNNNNNNNNNNNNNNNNNNNNNNNNNNNNNNNNNNNNNNNNNNNNNNNNNNNNNNNNNNNNNNNNNNNNNNNNNNNNNNNNNNNNNNNNNNNNNNNNNNNNNNNNNNNNNNNNNNNNNNNNNNNNNNNNNNNNNNNNNNNNNNNNNNNNNNNNUAUAAUAAAUUAAACCUUGAUUUAAGCAAAGGAAGAAGAAUGGAGAAGACCCACUUCCAACUUGGGGAAGAUGAAAUCCUUCUUUCUUCAAGUCUCCCAAAAACCCUCUCCAAACUUGAGAGAAAAUAUCUCAAAAUUACUAUUCUAUUCUGAAAAGUAUAAUAAUGGUUCGGAACUUAUAAAAGUAAUAAGAAGUAUAAUAUUUAUAGCCAUUAGAAAUUAGUGUUGAAGGAUAGUUCGGCGAGGUUAGUCGAGUUCGCCGAAUAACUUGGCGACUCGCCCUUCUUCUGUCUCAUCGCCGUUUAGUGCUUGCCUUCAGCAUCUUCACAUUCUAGACCAUUGGGCGGUAUAGUACUGCUUCACAGAACUAUUCGGCGACGCGCCAACUGCUCCUUUCAUCGCCUUUUUGAUCCUCUUCUUUCAGGGCUUCGCAUACUGGAACAAAGGGCGGAGUCUGUCGUUUCGGCGAAUCGCCAAAGGUGCUUGGCGAUGCUCAGGCUUCAGCUUCUUCAUUCUUUUCAGCCUUUUUGUUCCUUUUUGUGCCUAAGUGUUCAUGCUUCCACUAAAACUUCAAAUACCUGAAGCUUAAGAGUUUUCAUCAGAUAUUGAGAAAAACUAAGCAUUCGAGGACACUAUUUCUAUCAAAAUAAAGCCCUAAAUGAGUCCAAUUUGUGGACUCAUCAACACCCCCAACUUAAACUUUUGCUUGUCCUCAACCAAACUUAAGUUCAGCCGUUCAAAAAGGGUGUCUCAAACAGUGCUACACAAGACUCAAUCAUGAGUGCACACAACACGACACAAUUUAUUUAUGCAGGAUCAAUUGUGUAGUUAAAGAUUCAAGUUGUGACACACCAUUACCAAAGAUUCUCAUGCUCGCAAUACUUGCUACCUGUGCAAGUUCAAGCUCAACAAAAAGUAUCUAAAUGCCCUCACAUAAAGAAUGAUUCCAUAUUUUACACAUAGAGGUUAAUCAAUUCAAGAUCAGGAAUCAGAUGCAACGCUCACACUCAAAAAGAGGAACACAAUGCAUGUUUUCACCCAUAGGUUUGCCCUUAUUUUCCAAUCGACUUUCGAUUCGGUUUACUCAAGAUCAAAAAGGUCUUUCUAAGGCUUGUAAUGGGGCUGAGUGCAAAGGUAUGGUCAUUUAGGCUCAAUGACUUUUUUCUCGUGAGCUGUUGUAUUCUUAAGGCAUUCCCUUCUUUUCCUUUAUCAAUUCGUUUUCUAGUGCUUCUAAGUCACCUUUUCAUUCACCUUCAUGGAUUGCUUGGAAACCUGAUUUCCUUCGUAAUUUAUUCCACAUUUUUAAGGGGUUUCCACUUUUAUGCAAUACCAUGGGUUAAGGGGGACUUUUCUUGCACUUCUUAACUUCUCCUUUUCCUUUUCACCACACCCCCAACUUAGAUUUUUUGCCUAAGUUGGCUAUUCGCUAAACCACAAAUCAAGAGGAUUGUAGGUAGUGGGUCAAGUAAGUUCUAGGGUUCAUCAAGGUUCUUCUAAAGAAAGGUAAGGCUCAAAGGGUGUUCAAAAGAGUUUCACACGCUCACCACAGGUACGCCACAAAAGAGGUAUAUGUCAAAUUUGGCUCACCCUCUUUAAAAGUUGCCUAAGAUCAUCUCAAGAGGACACCUUUCUAAAUCAAUCAGGACUAAAGGGGGCAAAUUCUAGGUUUAUUCAUGCAUGGUUCAAAGCAAGCUAAUCACACAAGGAAUUGACACAUAAGUCAAACAAGACGAAGCACUUUCGCUAGUGUGCAACGAUCAUUACAAGAGAAUCAAUUCGAUAAAUGGCUAAUCACAACGAGAUGCAAAGAGUUCACAUAUUGUUUAUGCAACUUCAUUUGGCCUCAUCGUAGCCGUACAUUCAUGUUCGUUCAAUUCAAAGCACCAUUCAAGUCAUCGGUAUUGAUCGAAACCGAGACUCAAAUUUUUGCAAAAGAACAGCCACAUUCAACUCGUGAAGGGUGGCAAAAAUGUGCAAACAAUUCAUUUUUCAAAAGGGUCAAAAUCAUUUUGCAAUUAAAAAUAAGGGGAGCCUCAAGCUCAAACAUCCACAAAAGCAGUGUAAAUACAAUUUUAAAUAGAACAACCAAAAUAUAAUCACAGAAUACGAUCAUCAAAUAGCACACAAAAGGUGGGCCUCACCCCACCACAAAUAAGAGUAUUUGUCCUCAAAUGCAAGUAAUAAGAAUCCAAUUUUUUUAAAGAUAACGAAUAACAGAGAGGGGGGUAAAGAGGGGAUCUUGGCUAUGCGGUUGCUCCAUCUGUCAUAGCAUCAGUAUUCAGAAUGACCACCAGAAGGGCAAGCUCCACUAGAUCCAACAACAGGAGACUUUGCCAAAGAAGCUUGCACAACAGCAUUUAUCAUGAUUUCUUCAGUCUCGGCUAUUUCAUCCACUGUAGCUUCCUCAAAUAUCUCCUUAUCAGUUUCUGCCUCCAAUUCAGGAUCAACUAUAUGCUCCAUUCCAACUCCAUAUCCUGCGGUAGUCUGAGGCAUUUCGGGCACAUAUGGAACUUCCACUGUUCCAAAGAUCAUGGAUAUAUCAGUGGACUUUAGGUAGUCCACAUCAUUUUUUAGCUCUGCAAUGGUGGCCUUUACAAUUGUUACUUCCUCUGCAGCUCCUUGAUCGUGCUCACACACUAACAUCCUAGCCUUUAGAGCAUCAAUAGUAGUGCUCAGUGGUAUCAUAGCAUUGUCGAGGGCAACCUGAAUCAUGCCUGGAAUGGAGCUUUUUAUGUUGGCAGUCCGACAAUUAGCAGUUUGGGCGAGCUGUCCCAUUCGGAUCAUAGAUGCUUGAGUGAUCGGUUCACAGGGGGUAACAACAACUGUAGGUCUGGGUGGUAAUGAAGCAGCAGAGGGACCUGUAAAGUCAAAAGGAGUGGUAAUGACAUCAUAUAUACUUGAAGGCCUAGGGGCCGGAGUAGGCAAAUAUGCCUCUGCAGGUAUAGAUCUAGUGGCCACAGUUUCCUUCUGUUUCUUUUCUGCCUGGUCCUGCAGAUAUUCGACUUCGAUCUUUCGGAUACUGGUGGAGGUGGUGGCAGUCAAUUCCACAUCCUUCGUUGUAUCUCCAGGCACCCGUGCUCUUUUGCAUAAUUCAGUGAUUAAUACCGGGAAAGGGAGGCCCUGCUUUGAAUGCAUAUGGAUUUCAGUGGAAAUGAUCUUCCCGAGAUUUAUCCUGGUUUUCUCCAUUAUGCAUCCAAGACAAGCUGCCUUAGCAUGACGAAGGAUUGAUCAUUCUGUGAUGGCAUAAAUGUGUUGUUGAUUAAUCCGAACCAGUAUCAUGCAACUAUGUUCAGAUUUUUCUUGUCAAUUGGAAUUCCUUCUGCUAACCAUGUCGGAGCAUUAUCAUCUGAGACUAGCGGAGCUAACCACUUUUUCAUUGCAUCCAACUUCUGUGUCCUGAUCAAGUGCUGGCAGUGGUCAUUAAUCUUAUCGGACAUUCCCAAAGCUAUGUUGAUAGUCUCACUGUCACAUGCUACCUUCCUUCCUCUGACAACCACAUGAUCAACUGCUUUAAAAGAUGAGACUAGCCUAUUUCCGUUUAGGUACUAAUGCAUUGUAUGCGUCGUAGAACUCUCUAACCCAGCUUGGUAUGUAAGAGUUGCGAUGUCUUAUGAAGAUUUGGAAUUUGUGGUAUUUCAGGCACUCCAUCACUUUUGGAUACCUAUCAAUAACCCCAUCUAUGGAAAGUCGUUUCUUCUCAAUGAUCGUUCUCAAACCAUCUGCAUUUGAUCUAUUCAUUCAUGUUUGGGACCUUGUACUGGAUGUGCCAGCACUAAUGCUUGCCCUGGAGCUGGAGGAGUUGGAGUGAUGGAUUGACUAACUUUUAUCCGAUAUGGAUCAUGUAUCCUUUUGGAUAGUAGCUCAGCCCUCAUUGCCUCUGUCUGGUAAUCUUCUUCAGACUCUGCACUCUCAAUGUUAUAUGUGGGUGGCUCAGUGGUAUAGAAGCCUAUGCUGUCAGAGCUUGCGUCGGAUAAUUUAGAGGUUUUUCCUUUCCCCUUGCGUUUUGCAGUUGUGGUAGCCUUUGCCCCUAGGUGGAGGUGCGUUUUCACUAAUCACAAUUCUCUUUUCCCUUCCUUUGGUUGAUCGUGUGGCAAUAUCUACAAAACGUUAGAGAGAUUAGUCAGUAAUUACAUUGUAGGAAAGAAUUACAGACAGAAUCGCCGAUCUAAUCAGUGAAUCGCCGAAUCUCUUGGGCGAUCAUGAAUCUGUCCGCUGAAAGUUACAGAGCCCAUAGUGCUUAAGAUAUGAAAUUAAAGGCUAUUUAGGGAUAGUAGGCGAGCCGCUGAGUGAUUCGGCGAGCUCAACUCAGCUCGCCGACUGACUUACGUGACUGAGAUUCAACUCACUUUUCAAAAUCGAUCGCAUAAACCUCAAAAACAAAAUUAAACCAUUCAUUGAUGAAAUUUAGCCCAGACCCAUAGCACCCAUUCAUGGUCAACACCCAUUAUGCAUAGUUUUCCACAUUUAGAUUCAAGGUAAGCAGAGUGAAAAAGGAAUUCGAACAGUAAAAGCAAAUAGGCCCCAAUUUACAAAUCAGAAGCAGGUACUCGAAAAUUUCUACUCAUAUCAGAGAGAUCUAACAUGCAUGAAUGGACUCCUAGAUUGCAGAUGAGGUUGAAUUAUUCAAAAGUGAACGGGGUUUUUUCAGAAACUAACCUUUUUACUGAGUAAACAAAAUUGUAAUGCUAGGCGGCAACGCAAAUCCGAGUUCCAAGUGCUAAUUCGUGACUAAAGUACUACUUUAAGGUGAGAGAAUGUAAAUUACUACCUUGGUGUGAACUUAUGGAGUUUGAAAGUGAGAAAGAAUGAAGAAGUGUAGCUGAUGGCAAUAUAUGUUGUUCAAUUUGUGUCCAUUUGGUGACGUUACUCGCGCUUGCCAACCCACUCAGCGAUUCACCGAGUUUUACAGGCUCUGUACAACUCUUGUAUUGAGCCAAACGGUGGAUCCAUUCAGGUUCGCGGACCUAUUUGGCGACUCGCGGAAUGGACUUUCUGCUCGCCAACCUGAAAUUUUCCAUAAUUUCCUCAUUUUAACCUGCAACACAACACACCAUUAUUCAUAAAAGUAAAAUCCUAAAAGCUUAAGACCUUGGGUUUCCUCCCAAGAAGCGCCUUAUUUAUCAUCAUGGGACGACGCAAAUCUUUGCUCAAGUUUCGUUGUUGGGGUUGGCCAGGUCCUUAUUAGGCCACCCCCUGUUUCUCUGUGGAUGGAGUUGAGGCAACGCAUGCCUCAUCAGGUCCUCGAGCAGUUGGAAAACUUUAGAAUGAGACCAAAUAAUUUGUUUUUCAUUCCUUAGAUGUCUUCUUUCAAUCCCUCCAACUCUUUGUCUUGCUCGAUCACCUUGCGGAGAAUUGUUGAAAGCAUUUCCUCGAUGCGCUUGAUCUCCUUGUUCUCAUUGUUUCUUCUAUUAUGAGGGGGAAUGUAUUUAUCCUUCCUUUUUCAAUGAGCUUCGACCUUCACCAUAUUUCUUUUUCAUUCAUCCAUUUUAGUCAUUAGUGCGGUCAUCAAGAGAUCCUUUUCAACCUCUUGGCUCAUUUUAGCCAUAUUGUCAAGCAGUUGGACUGUUAUUAUAUAUGGCUGCUUUAAUGUUCCGCCAGGAAGGAGUUGGUCAACCAACAUCUAUUUUCUGGGGCCAAGACUUCGGUACAAGCAAUCAAGGAGGAUUGUACCAGGAAGUUCAUAAGUGGGGCAUUGAGUUAGCAGUUCAUUGAAUCUUGCCCAUGUCUCAUGGAUCCACUCAUCCUCUAAUUGCUUGAAGGUUAGGAUACGAUCCCGAUACAUCAUUACCUCUAAUUGAGGAAACUCCAUUAGCCCCCGAAUAUUUCUUGCUUUCCCUUGUUUAGAUUCCGACAAAUCACAAAACAAAACUAAGAAUUAAGUUAGUGAACUACAAUUAAGAAGAACAUAAACUCUAUGAAACUAAAAAUUCUCAAAUAACACCACUCCCCGGCAACGGCGCCAUUUUGAUGCUUAUCGUGACCAACGACACUAACCUACGGUUCGAGUGUCUACGAUUGUUGAUAGUAUAGUAACCCAACUAAAGGUUGGGGUUGUGUCCCAAGGGAGUGGUUUUGAGAAUUGAUAGAAAAAUAAAAUUUAGUUCUAACUAGUCGUAGCUAAAGACAUUAUCGAUUAAAAACAUAGUAAAUUAAAUGGGGAGACACAAAAGUGUCAAAUAUCGAUUAGGGGUUUAGUCACAAGUAGUAAAAACAACAAAAAUUAACAAGAAAAUCAAGUAUGGGGAAAUGUUCUUGGGGUGUGACCGCAAUACAAGUUGAGAUAAAUCGUUGAGUACAUGCUUUCAAUAGGAAAUUUGCAAGAUAAUAGUGACUAGGCUAAGCUUUAGAUGGAAAUAAGUUCCCUCUCGGGCAACUUACCCCGUUUCAAAUAGGUUCUUCUCAGACACCCAUUUGCCGCAUGAAGACCAGCCUAUGCCUUACCCCAUCACUCUCUCGAGCUGAGUGUUAGGAUAUAGUACUAGGGCUCACCCUCUCGUGCUGAACCUCAUGUCGACCCACUCCUUAGGCAAUCAAUCUAGUGGUCUUGGUUUCGCGACCUCCCUCUCGGGCAAGCCGAAAACACAUGGGUGGCUUUGUAUUUGCAACUUAAAACCCAUUAAAUUAAACCACAAACACUAGGUGAAAUAACCAUUAAAAUACAUCUAACUUAUCAGCAAGCAAAACCCAACAACAAUUGCAACACAUAUUUGCUAAAUCACUCCCCAAGAAUGGGGUUUUUAGCAACACAUCAAGAAAUAACAAAAUACAUCUCAAAAUGAUACUAGAAUCAAAUGGGUAUAAGAAAUUAAACCUUGAUUUAAGCAAAGGAAAAAGAAUGGAGAAGACCCACUUCCAACUUGGGAAAGUUUAAAUCCUUCUCUCUUUAAGUCUCCCACAAAACCCUCUCCAAACUUGAGAGAAAAUAUAUCAAAAGUACUAUUCUAUUCGGAAAAUUAUAAUAAUGGUUCGGAACUGAUAGAAAAUAAUAAGAGGUUUAGUAUUUAUAGCCAUCAGAAAUUAGUGCUGGCGGAUAGUUUCGCGAGGUUUGUCGAGUUCACCGAAUGACUCGGUUACUCGCCCUUCGUCUGCCUCAUCGCCGUUUAGUUCUUUCCUUCACCAUCUUCACAUUCUGGACCAUUGGGUGGUAUAGUACUGCUUUGCGGAACUAUUCGGUGACGCGCCGACUGCUCCUUUCAUCGCCUUUUUGAUCCUCUUCCUUCAGGGUUUCGUAUACUUGAACAAACGGCGGAGUCUGUUGAUAUACCGUGAGUUUACGGUAUUUCUAAUAUGUUUCACUUACAAGUUGUGUGUGUCUAAGGCCCUUUUAUAUUGGGUUUGAUGUGUUUUUAUCAUGUUUUGCAGGAAAGACGUUCAGGCGCGGAAGUGUAGAGACAACUGAAAUAAAUGUAGAAGAAAGGCAUUCACGGAGGUGAUCUACGGACCGUAGGUCCAUUCACGGUCCGUAGGUGAUGACCGUAGAUCAGCAGGCAAGGCAUGNNNNNNNNNNNNNNNNNNNNNNNNNNNNNNNNNNNNNNNNNNNNNNNNNNNNNNNNNNNNNNNNNNNNNNNNNNNNNNNNNNNNNNNNNNNNNNNNNNNNNNNNNNNNNNNNNNNNNNNNNNNNNNNNNNNNNNNNNNNNNNNNNNNNNNNNNNNNNNNNNNNNNNNNNNNNNNNNNNNNNNNNNNNNNNNNNNNNNNNNNNNNNNNNNNNNNNNNNNNNNNNNNNNNNNNNNNNNNNNNNNNNNNNNNNNNNNNNNNNNNNNNNNNNNNNNNNNNNNNNNNNNNNNNNNNNNNNNNNNNNNNNNNNNNNNNNNNNNNNNNNNNNNNNNNNNNNNNNNNNNNNNNNNNNNNNNNNNNNNNNNNNNNNNNNNNNNNNNNNNNNNNNNNNNNNNNNNNNNNNNNNNNNNNNNNNNNNNNNNNNNNNNNNNNNNNNNNNNNNNNNNNNNNNNNNNNNNNNNNNNNNNNNNNNNNNNNNNNNNNNNNNNNNNNNNNNNNNNNNNNNNNNNNNNNNNNNNNNNNNNNNNNNNNNNNNNNNNNNNNNNNNNNNNNNNNNNNNNNNNNNNNNNNNNNNNNNNNNNNNNNNNNNNNNNNNNNNNNNNNNNNNNNNNNNNNNNNNNNNNNNNNNNNNNNNNNNNNNNNNNNNNNNNNNNNNNNNNNNNNNNNNNNNNNNNNNNNNNNNNNNNNNNNNNNNNNNNNNNNNNNNNNNNNNNNNNNNNNNNNNNNNNNNNNNNNNNNNNNNNNNNNNNNNNNNNNNNNNNNNNNNNNNNNNNNNNNNNNNNNNNNNNNNNNNNNNNNNNNNNNNNNNNNNNNNNNNNNNNNNNNNNNNNNNNNNNNNNNNNNNNNNNNNNNNNNNNNNNNNNNNNNNNNNNNNNNNNNNNNNNNNNNNNNNNNNNNNNNNNNNNNNNNNNNNNNNNNNNNNNNNNNNNNNNNNNNNNNNNNNNNNNNNNNNNNNNNNNNNNNNNNNNNNNNNNNNNNNNNNNNNNNNNNNNNNNNNNNNNNNNNNNNNNNNNNNNNNNNNNNNNNNNNNNNNNNNNNNNNNNNNNNNNNNNNNNNNNNNNNNNNNNNNNNNNNNNNNNNNNNNNNNNNNNNNNNNNNNNNNNNNNNNNNNNNNNNNNNNNNNNNNNNNNNNNNNNNNNNNNNNNNNNNNNNNNNNNNNNNNNNNNNNNNNNNNNNNNNNNNNNNNNNNNNNNNNNNNNNNNNNNNNNNNNNNNNNNNNNNNNNNNNNNNNNNNNNNNNNNNNNNNNNNNNNNNNNNNNNNNNNNNNNNNNNNNNNNNNNNNNNNNNNNNNNNNNNNNNNNNNNNNNNNNNNNNNNNNNNNNNNNNNNNNNNNNNNNNNNNNNNNNNNNNNNNNNNNNNNNNNNNNNNNNNNNNNNNNNNNNNNNNNNNNNNNNNNNNNNNNNNNNNNNNNNNNNNNNNNNNNNNNNNNNNNNNNNNNNNNNNNNNNNNNNNNNNNNNNNNNNNNNNNNNNNNNNNNNNNNNNNNNNNNNNNNNNNNNNNNNNNNNNNNNNNNNNNNNNNNNNNNNNNNNNNNNNNNNNNNNNNNNNNNNNNNNNNNNNNNNNNNNNNNNNNNNNNNNNNNNNNNNNNNNNNNNNNNNNNNNNNNNNNNNNNNNNNNNNNNNNNNNNNNNNNNNNNNNNNNNNNNNNNNNNNNNNNNNNNNNNNNNNNNNNNNNNNNNNNNNNNNNNNNNNNNNNNNNNNNNNNNNNNNNNNNNNNNNNNNNNNNNNNNNNNNNNNNNNNNNNNNNNNNNNNNNNNNNNNNNNNNNNNNNNNNNNNNNNNNNNNNNNNNNNNNNNNNNNNNNNNNNNNNNNNNNNNNNNNNNNNNNNNNNNNNNNNNNNNNNNNNNNNNNNNNNNNNNNNNNNNNNNNNNNNNNNNNUGUCCUACCUCCUCUACCUUCAGGACACACAUUUGUGGUGACUAGUAGUUUGAUGCAGAUGCUUACAGCAAGAGGUUUAUUCUCAGGAUCGCCGUCGGAGGAUCCACAUGCUCACUUGGCCAAGCUAAGGGUGGUUUGCAAAAGUUGUGUGGGUAGACCAGACUUGGAUAUGAAUGUCAUUGGAUUACGAGUGUUCCCUCUUUCACUGACAGGCGAUGCUGCAGUAUGGUUCACUGAGCUUCCGUAUAACUCAAUAUUCACGUGGGACCAACUGGCUGAGGUGUUCAAAGCAAAGUACUAUCCGGUGUCCAAGAAGCUCAAUCACAAAGAUAGGGUCAACAAUUUUGUGGCAUUACCUGGAGAGUCCGUGAGUAGCUCGUGGGACAGAUUCACUGCCUUUGUUAGAAGUGUCCCAAAUCACCGUAUUGAUGAAGAGUCACUUAAGGAAUAUUUCUAUCGAGGACAGGAUGAUAACAAUAAAACAGUACUUGACAUUAUUGCCGGAGGUUCAUAUGGUGAUUGUACAUAUGCACAGAUUUCUGAAAAAUUGGAGAGGAUCUCUCGCAACAAUAAAACAUGGAUCACUAGGAGGUCAGAUACUGGGAGAAACACAUUUGCCGUUCAUAAUACCACUGACAAUUCUGCAGAUGAAAUUCGUGAGGAGAUGGCCCAGAUAAGGACAGACUUGGGAUUGGUAUUGAAGCAUGUGAGCGGAGGAGCAGAAAAGGUAAAUGUUGUGAACUACGUAACUAGAACUCCACCACAAUUGAAGAAUGCUACUAUGAAGAGGAUGCUUAUGCUGUGAAUGAUCAGACGGGGGUUUUCGACCAAAUGCCCAAGGAUCCAACACGGAAAAUUGGUGCCAAGGUCAAGGAAACCAAGGUCGGAACUAUGGAAAUUACAACCGAAAAGGUCACUAUGUCCGGGAUGGGAACUUCAAUCGCGACAACAACUAUAACAGGAAUAGCUACGGCAACAGAAAUGAUCGGGUUUGGCGACACUAUGCCACCACCCGAUCUUUCCCGUGUUACUAAAAAGUGCCACCGCUCCAAUCACACUUCCGACACUGAGGAAGCUCGACGACUGAAGAAGACGGAGCGCCAGCAGUUGGAGACAGCCCAAAGGCAGUCCAUCAUUGAUGAGGAGAGGAGGCAGUUGUGGGUUUGAGAUAUAGAUGUUUGCCCUUCAGAUUCGAGGAGCACUACUGCUGGUGUUCUCAUUGUUGGUGAGGGCGCUACUGAUGGCGUCCCUAGUAUUGAUCCAGUGGGUUCCGGUAAACCGGACCCACCCACUUCUUGAUGGGUCUUCAGCGCAUUUGUGCUAUAGGUUUUCUUCACCCUAUGCUUUACUUUUUAUUUUGUGCAUUGAGGGUAAUUGCACCUUAUUUUGUUGGGGUGGGGUAAAUGAUUGUGAGUGAUAGGGUGAAGUCUGCAUAACUCAACUCAUAAUCCUCUCUGGGGGUUUUCUUUCCUGUGUUAUUUUCCCCCAAGGGACUAUUUACUUUUAUGUUGAACCGACAUGUUUAGCAUUGUAUGUGUAGAAGUAACUAAAAGAAUGAAAGCAUGAUGGUAUAAAAAGCAUGAAAUUGAUACUGGUCCAAAAUUUUUGAAAUGUGCUAGAUCUAUAGGCUGAAUGAGUUGAAUGUGUUGGAUCUAUAUGACAUGAUAAGGAACCGGUGUGAUAGCAUAACUUAAGCUAAAACUUGAACUGGGUAACUCGAUAAUCCGAUAAUGAAACAAUGUGCCAAGUGUGUGUGAGAAAAGUUUGAAUGUUCAUGCAAUAUGUGCCAAUCUAGAACUUGCCCUAUUGGUUCUGCUAAGAUAAUCUAGGCUAGAAGUUGGGAAAUGAUCAUAGGCCCUUGUUCAAAUAAGUCCACUCAAGCCUAAAAGUCAACCAAAAGAAAUAAAUUCUCCCUUUGAUCCAAAUGUUUGAGCCUAAUGAAUAACACUUCUUUCAAUACACCUAAUUCACCUUCCCUAAAAAGAUUGUUUUGGCCACGGUCCCUCCUUGGACAUGUGCACCUUCACUUAGGCCAAAAGCCUAAGUUGAGGGUGGCUAAGGAUCCAUUUGUUUUUUGAAGUAGCCUAAAAGAAAGAUAUAACCACUUGAAAAUGGUUAUACAUCCAAAGGCAUGAUAUGAUUGGAUGCAUCUAAGGCUACAAGACUUUAAGUCUAUACAUGAGUAUAAUUCUGCCAUGUUCAGCAUCACUUCUCAGUUGAAACUAUGUGAAGAAACGGUUAGUGAAAUUAAUAUGAUGGAAACGACGUUCUCCACUUUUCAUGCCUCGAAUGUGCUCUUGCGGCAACAAUAUUGAGAGAAAGGUUUCAAAAAAUAUUCUGAACUAAUUUCUCAUCUUCUCGUGCUGAGAAAAAUAAUGAUUUAUUAAUGAAAAAUCAUGAGAAUUGGCUUACUAGAUCUGAACCACUUCCUGAAGUGAAUGAGGAGUACGCCCACCAUGCUAGGUGUGGAAAAGGUCGUGGCCUCGUCGUGGUCCUGGACGUGAACAUGGUCGUGAUUAUGGUCAAGAACGAAAAUAUUUGAUUAAAAUUGUAUUGCUUGUCAUUAUUCUCUCUAUCUAAUAAUAAAAAUAUAAACGAUACUGAACUAUCACUUCAUCGAUAUAAGUAAAAAACGAAUUCAACUAAAAACAAUUUUUAAAAUACCUAUAUCAAAUCUCACGAAGAAAUUAUUGUUUUGAAAUAAUGCUCCAAAUUUGUAACUAUGUACUAGUAUACAAAAGAAAAUGAAUACAUAGAAUGCAACGGUAUUACGAUAAUACAUAUAACUAUGUAUGAUAAUAAUGAUAAUUAUAGCUAGAGAAAUAUGAUAACCCCUAAACUAUAAUCAUUUAUGUUAGUUUCUCAACGAUUAAUUCAAUUAUAUUAGUCAUCUUAUUUAGAAUAUUUUCUUGAAUUUAGUAUAGUCCAAAUUAUUUUAUGGAUAAAUUCAACAUAAUUUUAAUACUUAAAUAGUUACUUACACAACAAAAUAAUCAAAAUUUUGAUAUUGCAUAAAUUUCUUAAAAUAAUCAGCCAAACUAAACCAUUAACAUCCCUAUUCUAUAAAUUAAAUAGGACUUUUAAAGUUAAAUUGUCUUUAUAGAUCAAUCUAAGUCAAAAUUUCUUAUCCAAUAUAACACAAUUAUUGUUUAUUACACAAAAUGACCAUUCACUCUUUCUUUUUUGUUGGUGAGGUACAUCGGUCAUUCCUUAUUCAUGUUGACAAUUUGUCCAAUUGCCCAUUUUUUGACUAUUUACAAAUAAUUCUAGCCUUAACGGUAGACACUACAAAUCGAUUAAAGAGAUUUAUUCGGUUUAGAAUUUGAUCUACCGCAGAUGUGAAUUAUUUUAAGUAAAUAAUAGGGAAAAGGGUAAAAAAUAUCCCUCAACUUUGUUUUAUUGGUUGAUUACGCCCUUACCGUUAAAAUGAAGUUAUUUUUACCCCUGCCGUCACUAAUUUCACCAUGUAUGCCCCUCAAUUGGAUGGAAAGCCCCAAAUCAAUCAAACUUACCCAAUUUAACCCGACCCACCUAAUAUUAUAACCCAUUUUUGUUCAUCUUCUCCCUCUUUUCUUCUCAAAAAAUUCGUUCUUCUCUUUUUAUAUCCACUUUAUUAGCCUUAAUCAUCUUUUUUUUAUCAUCAUUAUUCUUUAUAAUGAAGUAUUUUCUUUCAUUUUUACCCAAUCUCAUCCCAAACUCUCUAGCUCUAAUUACAAUUCCAUCUCAAGAUUAGUCAGUGAGUAAUUCAAAAGCACACAAUUUUUUUUGCUACAAGAAUAUAGCCACCACCUGCGCCGUUGUAAUCUUAGCCGGAAUUUUUCUGUUCCACCAGCAGUACAGUUGUCCACAAGUAGAGAAGAUGACGAAGAUGAAAUGGUAGAAAUUGGAGGGUCUUCAACCAAACACCCUUCCUCUUUCAGCAACCAAACAACAACCACCCCCACUGUUCAGACUUCCAAGCCACCACAAUCUUCUAUUCUCCUCAUCUCCGUCUUCGACAAGCAACUACCAAUCAACAACCAGUAAACAAAACCCAAUAUGAAACAACCAAAACCCACUCUUUCGACUUCCUCCAGACCCACAUCACGAAUAGUGUCCAUCCGCCUCCGCGAAAUCCCAACUCUGAUAGACCGGAGGAAAUCAACAACGAUGAAUUAGAGCUCCAAGAUCCAGUAAUUCCGACAAUUUUUUAGAUCUGACUAUAAAAUAAUGCUCCGAUUACCUAUAUUUAAUCAUUGUUGUGUUCUUGUGUUUUUGGAUUCAUAGUCAUUAUUACAUUAUUUUCGAUAUUGUUGGGUUGUGUCGGAUGAUUUUGUUGUUUUUGAAAAUGAACACAAGUUUAAAGAUGAAGAUGAAAAAAAUGGGUUGUAUUUUCAGGUCGGGUUGUGGAUAAUUUAAAUAAAAUUGGGUAAUUUUAAUUGAUUUGGGGCUUUUCAUCCAAUUGAGGGGCACAAAUGGUGAAAUUAGUGACGGUAGGAGUAAAUAUAACUUCAUUUUAACGGUAAGGGAAUAGUCAACCAAUAAAAUAAAGUUGAGGGGUAUUUUUAACCCUUUUACCUAAAUAAUAUAUUAAAAGACUCAAAAUAACGAGAGGAGCUCAUAUUUAAAAUUUGGAAUUGUUUAGAGGAGAUUUGAGUUGAUCGAGAUUUUAGAAAAUUAGCUUGUGUAGGGAAGAUGAACUAUUAAAGAUUAUAAAUAUUGUAUAAACAAUGUACAUGGAUGUAUGUACAUUUAUGAUACAUAGUUAUAUAUCAUAUAUACUCGAUUAUACACUAUUUAUACAAUACCAAUUCAUUACAUAUACAUACACUCAUUAAUUGAAACUAUUUUGGGCCAAUGGUAUAUUUAUGCAAUCCCUUUAAAAAAGGCAGGUGUCUUAUGCCUGCAAAUUCAAGGGGGGCUAUUAUGUGCAAGUAAUAAUAGGCUAUAUGUUUUUUUUAAGAAAAAAUAUUGAGUACCGAUUUUUUUGGUUUAUUGAGUACUUUUUGUAGAAAAAGUAAAGUUUUCAUAUACAAAACAAAUAUUAUUAGGAGUUUGACACAUCUAGAUUACUAUGUCUCAAGAGAGAUGUAUUAUCAAUUGAAAAUGAAUUAUUAGGAAAAAAUAAUUAAUUAUGAGAAAACUAUUAAUUUUGCAUCUCAAAAAGCUAGAAGGACAUACUUUAUAAAAAAUAUAAUAUUUUUUGAAAAAGUUUAAGGCCUCUUUGUAUUUUGCUUUAGGCCACUAGUGUGCUUGAGCCGCCUUGCUAACACGUAAUAAGACCAAAAAAAAACACAAGUAGGGACAAUGGGAUAGGGCAAGUUUGAGCUUUUGCGGAGGCAUGGUGAGGUGGAUUCAAUUUUUAAAAAAUAAUCAGGUACGGCGAGGCAGGGCGAGUUUGCAGGUUGCAAAUUGAAAUCUUAAACUAAAACUAAAACAUAAAAUCUAAAAUCAUUUCAAUCAAGUUGUUAUUCAUUAGGAUUCCUUAAUAUCAAUCCAUAUAUUCCAAUUGUUUUUAAUGGUUUUUUUAGUUUACUAAUUGUCAAUGUUAAAUCAAACAUAAACUACUUUCACUAUUCGAAUUAGAUAUUCAUCAAUAACUAUAAGAAAGAGUAGUAAAAGUUGUAAGGAAAAAAUCAUUUAUAAAUUCUAGUCUAAUAUGACCAUUCCAAAAGAAAACAUUAUAACCAUUUUGAAAGGAGCCAAGUUAGCAAAUGAGACCUCUUUCAUGUAAAUAUUAUUUUUUUCAAGCAGAAUAAGGAGAAGAAUUCACAUAUUGCUCCCAUAAAGUCAGAGUCUUCACAACUUUAUGCAGCUUUGCCUCGCCCAGCCAUUUGCAAUCGCUAAACAAAAGAUACCUUCUCACAGAAGUCAAGUUUCAGAAGGUUGGCAUUUCUUACAUCUGUUUAGAAGAAUAUUGUAUAUCACAUGUACAAGUUCAACCCAAAAAUUUGCAUAUCACUUGGCACCAAAGCUGCAACCAACAUAAUUUUGGGCAAUUAUGUUAAGACGAUUUUGCAUGACAUCCAUAGACGGAUAAGGAGGAAAACACAGGCGGUAAAAGCACGUGUGCAAGGAAGGCAAGCAAUCAUGAGAGUUUGAAGUUCAGUAGAUGUAAAGUUUAGAAUCUAAAGUUUAGAAUCUAGACCACCAAAACCCUCAAUAGGCAGAGACUUGAUUGAAGUCCAGAAGAAGAGAAGCACAUUUCUCUGCUCAGCCGACAUACUUCCAACUAUCUGCAGCAACAGAAAAGAAAACUUUGAAAAUGUUGUUGGGAUAAUAACUUUGAAAGAGUUGAGAAAUCUACCACAUCCAAAAACGAAUGAAGAAAGAGAAAAUCAAAGGGGCAAAGGUGUAGACUUCUCGAUAGUUAAUACUCUGGAAAUAUAAUUAAAGCAAACAACAAAUAAGUACCUCCCAGGACCAGGAUAUUUGAGGAUCAUUUUUUUGUAGCCAUUGUAAUUUGUAUGUUCUUUCCAGUCUUCUACAGAAACAACAAUUUUACUCCCAUGAAGCAUCAUGUUAAGGUCUUCAUGAUCUAGGAUCCGGAACAAGGAUUUCUGAAGCCGUCGAUCAGUAAUUAUGUCAGCAAAACCACGAUCAAAAUGGGCUACAUGAUGAGCAAUUGAUGUGAUAAAACGGUGUUUAACAAAAGAUUAACAUAGUUAUUCCUAUUCUCACUAUUCACUAUCGUAUUUUUCCCAUUAGGGCAAACUCCACAACUUUCCUGGAUCCCAAUUCUUUCAUCUUCACAAACAAAUGUUAGGCCUAGGAUAUCUCCAUCCACCAUCUUCGUAUCCAUCUCCAGUAUCUUCUUGCAGCCACUGUACAAGUAGGGAUCUGCAUCCCUAAUGUCUUCAAACGAAAUAUCCUCUCCUGCUAAUUGCAAAAAUACCACACGAUCAAACGCAAUGCUUAUUUAUACUCUAUGCAACAAGGCCAACGCAAUCAUCAUGUCGGAGAAGAUAAAAUACUCAAGGUGCAAGGGGUCCACCUUAGAUACUGCAAGCACAGAAUGCAGAUGAGGGUUUUUUGCGUUGUAACAGAGAGAAUAAUAUUACUUUUCGUGAAACAUCAAAAGAUUGUAUCGAACAACCUCAACCAUCUUAUAAAUGCAGCUGUGCAAGAUUCAUCCUAAUCUAGAGAACUCUGAUGGAGUAAAUUCCCAGUUGUUAUAAACGAACAAAAAAUAAUAAUACAACUAGUAACUACUCAUUCUUAUGCCAUACAACCCAAUUACACUAAUGCAGCUUCGUUGAGAAAGAUAUCUAGGUAGAACUGCUAUGGCCAUAAAUAAGACUUGAACUCUUUCAAUCGUUACUUCAUGAAUUUCAUCUGAUUGCAAGGUGUUAUUGGAGAAUCAGAGAACGAAAGGACAUUAACAAUAACACAAUAAAAUAUACUAACAUGAGAAAUAAAUUGAGACAAAAUCAAAUUUAAAAUCUCAGCAUGUUAGAAUGGCUAAAUCUCCUCAAGCUGGCAUUAUAAAUAUAUAUCAGCAUCUAUUCGUGCACACACCAACUUUCACUCCCUUAAAUACAUCAGGUGUCGCAUAUUUACAACAUACUUUAGGGAUCCGGCCAGGCACAAUGAAUGCUGAAACCUAUUUCCAACAUCCAACAAAUCCAGACAAUAACAUAGUAUCGAGAAGAAAUCAAAUCCAGAAAAUAUAUUAAGUAAAAGCCUUGAAAGUCCUAUAGAAAGAGACAUUGCUCAAAAACUUGUAACGGAAGGAUGAAAAUUAUUGGAAAAAGAGACAAAAGGAAACAAAAACUUAGCUUUUCUGCAGGACAGUAAAUGAACUUAUGAAGUCUAGUAUGGUUUCACUGUGAUUUACAUUUACCAUGAAACACCAAAAAUUAUGUAUUUGAGUUCAAACCAAGAGUAUGUUCUUUCUUUUUCAGCGAUGUAUCAUUGAAUCUUCUCUCUAGAUGAUCCACAAGAUUGCUGCUGAAAUGGUAUCCCAAGUCUUUAUUAUAAGAUAUCAUUUGUACUGACCAUGUAAGAAACUCUGCUGCAGUCUUGUCAUGAUCCGAUCCUAACCCUAGCAUGUUAAAGAUCCUGCUCCAUAUAUGCGCUACUUUUUUGCAAUGGGGGAAAAGAUGAUUCAUCGAGAAAUUAUUCUAUCUGAGAUAUACCUCCUUGGCAAACUACAGAAGGGAAAAACCUACCUUUGAUCAAGAGUGUAUAGAAAGACUUAAUAGUAAAUAGACCAUUUGUUUGUCCUUCCAAAUCACAAUACUAGGCAUGGGCAGUAGGUUGGGGCGGCUGCUCAGUUGUGCUAAAAGUUGUCCUAAUUGUUUCUUCCUUCUUUUGGGUCGGCUACAUAGUUAAAGAAAUCUGAUAAGGGGAGUGUGGCAGCAAUUUGAUACAUGAAAAGAUGCUAAGCAAACUGAAAUUCCAUUUUUAGCAGGUAUUAUCUUUCCAUAUCAAGAUCUUUUUUUCCCUAUCCUCAACCCUUGAAUAAUGAAUAGUGCAUGUCUCUGUAGUUCCUUCCAUAAACCUCCAAUAUGUGUCCUCAUUCCUUUAUCUUUAGUUAUACAAGUUCCAUUUGUCUUACCAUUACUUUAAAUAGAUUUAAUGCACUUUGGAAUUACUUAUGUAGCAACGAAUUAGUAAAACCCUCAGACAUGGGUUUCAUGAAAGAGACGAACCUCAAAGAAUGCUAUGAGGGUAUGAACAGCAACAUCAAGCAACCUUACAUGGUUUACAUAAAGAGAGAUAAUACGUAUACUCAUACUCACAAAGAUUCAACCUCUAUCUCAUACUAUUUAUCUAUUUUUGAGGAAAAAUCAAAUAAGAAACAUCUUUCAUACUCGACAACUUUAGAUCAAAAAACUGACAGAAGGGAUAUAUGAGAACAAAAUGCCAACAAAAUCUUACCUGGAUUUGGGAAAAACCUUCUGCCUUCAUUUGGGCAUGAAACAAAUAGAGCAUUCUGAAGGUUGAAAAUGGCUUGCCAUACCAAGGAAAACUACUCCCUCAACACACCAGGCCCCGUAGCUUCUUCAUUCUCAAAUUGCAUAAAUAACUGGCCUCGCAGCGACCUAGGACUCGCAUGUCCAAUGUACUCAAAUGAUUCUUCAAAAAAACGAGACCUGCAAAUGAGCAUCUCGUAAAACUCCUCGUUCUUGUGCCUCCCUUCUCGAAGCAUCUUCAAGGCAAAACGUUGCCUUAUCUUAAAAUGUGUUACCUCCUUGUGCUCAAUAAUCCACUGAUAAUCUAUAGACUUUUUUGACAGUCUAACUAUCAGAAAGCACAAUUCAACCCUUCUUUGCCUCAUCUUCUCCCAAAACAUUUCCUCCAAACCCUUAUACAACUUUGAAAUGCUUUCUAACUUCUUUAGAAUCAAAAGAUACUGGGACCAACAGCUUACAAUAGGCUCACCUCUUUCUUUGUUUAUCAAACCCAACUGGCUUUCCAGUUUCUUUAGACAUAACUCUAAUUUUUCCAGCAAGUCCAAAAAACCACGAUGCACGCCUUCAAUCUCCAAUCUUUCAUUUCCUGCUCCACCUUGCAUCAAGGAAGGGAAACUGACCAGAAUGUCGAAUGCUUCUUGAUGCCGUAUUGCACUCUUUACCAGAUGCAUAAACUUAAUAAACUCGUGCACAUUGCUUUUUGAUAACUCUAUAAACUCAGUCGAUUGCACACUCAAUUCUAAAGCACACGAUAACCUUGUUGUCAUCUCAUGAACAAAAGGGAAAACAUCAUGCAAUCUUAACACAUACUUGACAUUAUGGACAUACCACUCCAUCAUUGCAGCUAAACUACUCCGGCAAAAUAUAUACAAUGCAUCAUCAACACCCACAGCCCCUCUAAGAAUCUUACAGAACUCAAACAAUAUAGGAGCAAACAGCCUAUAUACGGUUACAGGGUUGACGAAAAGUGUCUUACCUGAAUCUACAAAUUGAUGAAUACAUUCAUGAGCAGGUUGUUUCUUAGUUACAGAAAGAGAUACAUAAAGUUUUACCAGAGCCGCAGGAACAGAGGAGUGAAUAAAUAUCUGGAUAUAUUCCUCCGAUUUAUCUACGCCAUCUUUUGGGGUCAUUUCGAGAAAAUUGGUAAGCAUCUUCAUCAUACGGGUGACAUUAACAUUAAUAUAUAUGUUGUCAUUGCAGUUGCAGAGGUCAUGAAUAGGCGAAUUUAAGUCAUUUAUUAGCUUCCACGUGUAAGGAUGGCGCGAGUUGCGCAUUCUCCCGACGAGUUGUAGGGUAAUGUCAUCUUGUAUACCAUAUUCCGAUAAUUGUUGGGCUAACUGAAGCUUUUUCCCGCGGUAGAUUAAACGUUAUUCAAUUGCUGGUACACUGGAGGUCAAUUGGAUCGGUCGAAUUCCGAUGAUCGACUGAAUUUUCCGGUGAACUGAUGCAACUGUAUCGGACGAAUCAACUUGAAUAACCAGGGUUUUGCCGCUGAAAAACAUACGGCCGAAGAAUUGAAUGGGAGUUUUAGAGAAAGAGGGAGGGUUUAGUCAUGAGUCAUCCUGGCUGCGCCGGCGACAAAAUAAUCAUGGAGGCGUUUGGUGCUAGUUUUGUGAGGCAACUGAUACGCCAUGGUAAGUGCAGAUGAGCAAGAAGAGAGAAGAGUUUUGAGCUCUGAUAUGUUAUAUAAGAAACAAGGAGUCUUCAGGUGAGAGGUGUAGUUAGACAAUAUUUGUAUGAGAUCCUCUCAUACUUUGCCAAGUGUAGUUUGGGUCCCACUACAAAAAAAAAGGCUAAAAGGCUCCAUUUUUUAUUCUCUUUCGCCUAUUCAAUAUUUUCUUCUUCUCUUUUUCCCUUUCUUUUUGAAAUUUUAUAUUUUUCGUAUGAAUUAUAUUUAUUUAUCAAAAGUUGAAACUUAAUAUUUUUGGUAGGAUUAGCUGUGAUUUAGUUUGGACCAUUUUUCAAUAAAUUAAUUAAUUUGUUUUUUUUCAAAUGUUGAAAUCAAGUCAAAUUAAUUAAGUCAGAUUUUUUAUCACUUUAUUUUUUAUUUUAUUUUUUUGCAAUUUGGUUUUUGUCGACUUUUAGAAAAUAUAUGAUAAUAUAAAAAAUUGAUCUAGUUAUAUAUAGGAUCCUUCAAAAAAAAAUGUUUUAGCAUUAUCUAAGAAUUUAAUCAUUACUAAUAAAUAUGAUAAAUUCGUUCCAACGAUUUUUUUGUCAAAAAGUUAAAAAUUUAGCUGCAAUAUACUAUGUCUUGAUGAUGUUUGAUUUAAAUAAAAAUAAUCAAUUAAAAAACAUGAGUUAUUUUGAACAUGAAAAUGCACUCUUGACAAUCAAGAUAAAAAUAUAAAUUAAAUUACGAAGUAAAUGCAAACAAUUUGAUUAUUAUAAAGAGAAACACAUGAAUAGAACAAAGUGGUUUUAAAAAUUAACAAAUAUAUAUAUAUAUAUAUAGACAGAGAGUGAGAAAAUUAUAAUUAGUACGGACCAUUAAUUAGUAGAACAAUAUGAUGAAAAAUUCUACAUUAAAAAAUCAAUGUAUAAUCUUUUUAUAAAUGAACACAAAAACGAAUAACUCCACAAAAUAUCUAAAUUAUCAUAUUCCUUAUAUAUCAUUCUAUAAGAUACUUACAGGAAUAUAAAAUUUUCAAUUUUAUGAAAUUAAUACGAAAAUUUUUACAUUUUUUUAAUUGUAACUUCAAUUUCUUUCAAGAAUUAAAUUGAAACACAAAGUUGUUAUCAGAACUAAUUUCAAAGAAGAAUUACACGCAAAACUUCCCCAAACCUUCUAUAAAAGGAUUGAGAAGAUGCAAGACCUCUAAGUUUCAUGAACCCACAAUAAAAAAAAAGGAUAAAUAAUUUACAGAUGAUGUCAUUUAUCCUUUAUCAACUGGAAAUGGUGAUUACCGAGCGACUCAUACUAAUACAAAUGUCCCUUGUAUGAUGAAGAUGCUUAUCAUGUUUUUCACUAUGACCCUAAAGGAUGAACUGGAAAAGGUGAAGUAGGAAAAGGUAAGGCAUCAAGAAGCAUUUGGCAGUUCGAUCAGUUUCGCUUCCUUUAUGGAAGGUGAAGUAGGAAAUGAAAGAUUUGAUAUUGAAGGCGUGCAUCGUGUUUAUUGUGACUUGUUGGAAAAAUUGAAGUUGUGUCUAAAGAAACAGGAAAGCCAGCUGGGUUUGGUAAACAAAGAAAGAGGUAAGUUGGUCCCGGUAUCUUUUAACUCUAAAAGAGUUAGAAAGCAUUUCAAAGCUGUAUAAGGGUUAAUUUGGAGGAAAUGUUUUGGGAGAAUUUGAGGCAAAGAAGAGUUGUGUUGUGCUUUCUGAUAGAUAGACUUUCAAAAAGGUCUACAAAUUAUCAGUGGAUUAUUGAGCACAAGGAGGUAAGAUAUAUUAAGAUAAGGCAACAUUUUUCCUUGAAGAUGCUUCGAGAAGGGAGGUACAAGAACAAGGAGUAUUACGAGAUGCUCAUUUGCAGGUUCCAUUUGUUUGAAGAAUCAAUUGAGUACAUUGGACAUGCGAGUCCUCGAUUGUUGUGAAGCCAGUUAUUUAUGCAAUUUGAGAAUGAAGAAGCUACGGGCCUGGUGCUUUUUUAUUCAUUCUUACAUUGCAGGAAUAAAUUGCCUUGCAACGAUCUAGGAUCCACAUGUCCAAUUGACUCAAAUGAUUCUUCCAACAAAUGGGACCUACAAAUGAACAUAUUGUAUAGCUCCUUAUUCUUGACUUUCCCUUCUUGAAGCAUCUUCGAGGAAAAACAUUGUCUUAUAUUAAUUGAGUUACCUCUAUGUGCUAAAGAAACCACGGAUAAUCUCUAGACAUUUUUGACAGUCUAACUAUCAAAAAGCAGAAUGCAACUCUUCUUUGCCUCUUCUUCACCUAAAAUCCUCCAAGCCCUUAUAUAGUUUUGAAAUGCAUCUUAACUCCUUUAUAAUUGCAAUAUACUAAGACCAAUAAAGUACAAUGGGUUCACCUCUUCAGUUUUUAUCGUUAGCUUUACUAUUUCAUUAGACACAAUGACUCUAAUUUGUCCAAGUUACAAACUACAUGAUCCACACCUUCAAUCUAUAUUUUGUAAUUGAACAUCUCAAAUCAUUUCCUUCCUGCUUCAAUCUUACCUUGCUUCAAUAAAGGGGAAACUACUAUGACAACCUAAUGUCUUGACGCCAUAUUGUACACUUCACGGGAUGUAUUAAUUUGAUAAACUCAUUCACAUCAUCACUACCUCAUAACCCUAUAAACUCAACUGAUCACAAACUCAUGAACAAAUGGAAAAUAUCCUGUAAUAUUAACACAUUCCUAACAUCAUACCACUUCAUCAUAGACGCUAAACUAUUACAAAACAAUAUAUACAAAGCAUCAUGAAAACCAACAAUCCCUCGAACAAAUUUACAAAACUCUAACAAUAUAGGAGCACUGUCAAGACCCAACCAAUCAGGCUGUGUAGGCACCUAUUUUAGCAUUUCUGUAGAUUGUUCAGUUUAUCCUCGUUGUUAUCUAUCAGAGGUUAGUUCCAUGCCCCCUCAGCUUUUGUAACUUUUUGGAUUUUAUACACAUGGUGCUCAAAGAUAUAAAAAGUAUAGAAGAAGAAGACAACCGACACCACCUUAGAAAAUGUCCUUGGUCUGAUAUAAGCCUCUUAGUAGAUAGCUCCUUCAAGGUUCAGUAAAGAACCAUGAAUAUUCUAUGUAAAUUGUUGUGCUAAAGAGGAAAUAACCUCUAGCAAGUUGGAGAAUUAAAAAUCAAUGAUUAGUUUAUAGAUAAAGUAUCAAAAUACCCUAAAGGUAUUUAGACAAUAAUACAAACACAUAAAUAAAUUAUAACAUUCACUAGUACAUGUACUCUCUUAAAUUAGAACAGAUUCAUUGCGGUGAUAUAUGCACCUCCCUUUAAUAUAUGUCCACAUAAUGUUAAAACUAAAAAUAUUGUAUUCGGGGAUCAAGGUGAAACAAGAAACUUAAAUGCAUCCAUAUAGAGAACGACUCACCUUUCUUACACCUUGGUGGGAUAAUUGGAACUCAAAGACCAACAUAGAAUACUAUAUCUUCAAUGCUUCUUUAAAUUGAUUGAGUAUUGCAGUUUACCAAUGGCUGCAUUGGAGGAUUCCUCAUUAAGAGAUGAACAAGUUUGAAGAUUGUCUCUCACUGAUUGCGUAUUGUUAAAAUAAAAUCUGGUUUAUUGGGUCCAAGAGUUUCAUCUAAAAGUAAACAUCUCACUAAGAUUAUCAGACACACCUAAACUCGUCUUCACUUAAAUCCUCAUUUCCACACCGUAUAUCACUUUUAUGAUCAAGUUUAUAAGUACUUGAGGCAACCUUAAAGUUGGAAUUGUAGAGAGGGACAAACCAAUUGUCUUCCUCUGGAAAGAGGUAACAUUGUCCUGAGAAAUUUUCACACAACAAAAGGCCAACAAUAACAUAAAACGUCAGGUGAGGAAAACCACACAAAGUUGUUAUCAAAACUAAUUUCAAAGAAGAAUUUAACGCUUAACUUCCCCAAACCUUCUAUAAAAGGAUUGAGAAGAUGCAAGACCUCUAAGUUCCAUGAACCCACAAUAAAAAAGGAUAAAUAAUUUACAGAUGAUGGCCUUUCUCUUUCAUUAACCGGAAAAGGUGAUUACCGAGCGACUAAUUCUACUACUAAUGUCUCUCGUAUGAUGAAAAUGCUUAUCAUGUUUCUCACAAUGACCGUAAAGGAUGACACUAGUAAAUUUGAGGAAUAUCUCCAAAUAUUUAGUCACUCAUUUGUUCCUGUGCCUCCUUCUAUAUUUAGCAAACAAGCUGCUCAUGGAUGCAUUUGUAAAUUUGUAGAUUCAUGUAAGACAUUUUUCACCUACCAUGUAACCGUAUAUAGGUAGUGUGCUCCUAUAUUGUUAGAAUUUGUAAGCUUCUACGAGGGGUUGUAUGAUGUUAAGAAUAUUUUAGGAUUGGAGAAUGCUUUUCAUUUGUUCGCGCAUUGGCAACAAGGUAAUUGCAUGUUUUAGAAUAUACUGUGCAAUCAACUCAGUUUAUGAGGUUAUCAGGUAGCCAUGUGUGUGACUUUAUCAAGUUUAUGUAGAUAAUAGCAGAACAAAAGUAUAAUUAGGAAGGUCGAUUGUUGAUUUGUAAAUAUCUAAGUGUGAUCAGAUAUGAUUUUGUAGGAUUUAAAUUGAUCUUAUAAAAUCAUAUAUGAUAUGCUAUUGAAUAGGUUAGGAUAUUAGAUCAAUAAUAAAAUCAUCCCUUGAUUCUCAAAUCUGCCAGAAUCAAGGGAUCUGAUUGCUAGUUAGUUCAGUUUUCUAUACUAUAAAUAUGUAUCUCUACAGAUGAAUAAGAUUGUACAAUUUUGGUACCAAAACUUAUAUGGUAUUAGAGCAAGAUUAUUCUUGUAACUGAAACAACACUGCUUCCAAGAAAAUAGAAGCCAAUAGCAUCAAUAGAAGUUGAGAGUUCUAUUAACAAUCUUGACAAGAGAUAACAAUGAAGCCAUGGUGUGAUUUUUGCAUAAAAUAUGGGCACACUUGUGAGACUUGCUGGAAUAUCCAUAGGAAACCGCCUAGCUGGAACAAAAAAAUGGCAGACAACCAUGGUCAGGCACUUCAGUGUACCAGCAAAGAACCAGGGCUACGAUCUUUUCUACAAAGGCGACCUUUCACUGAGGAAUAAGUAGAGCGGCUGCACAAAUUUCUCCAAGUUCUGCAACCUCAACUCCAAACCAGUAAAUCUAAUUUUUCUACUCCCACUUGUUCUUUUUCCCAAGUAGGUAGCGUACCAUCCAUUUUUGUGAGUACAGAAUCAACUGGUAUAAGUCCUUGGAUCAUAGAUUCAGGGGCUAGUGAUCACAUGACAAGGAAUUCCCAUUUUUUUCUCAACUUACACUCCUUUAACAGGAAAUAAAAAAUUCAAAAUUGCUGAUGGUUCCUUUUCAGCAAUUGCUGGAAAAGGGACAAUCAAACUAACCCCUCUUUUGACCCCUUUUGAUGUCCUUCAUGUUCCAAAACUGUCUCAUAAUAUUUUGUCCAUCAACAAAUUGACUCAAAACCUUAAUUGUCGUGCUAUUAUUUUCUACUCCCACUUGUUCUUUUUCCCAAGUAGGUAAUGUACCAUCCAUUUUUGUGAGUACAGAAUCAACUGGUAUAAGUCCUUGGAUCAUAGAUUCAGGGGCUAGUGAUCACAUGACAUGGAAUUCCAAUUUUUUCUCAAUUACACUCCUUUAGCAGGAAAUAAAAAAGUCAAAAUUGUUGAUGGUUCCUUUUCAGCAAUUGCUGGAAAAGGGACCGUCAAACUAACCCCUCUUUUGACCCCUUUUGAUGUCCUUCAUGUUCCAAAACUGUCUCAUAAUAUUUUGUCCAUCAACAAAUUGACUUAAAACCUUAAUUGUCGUGCUAUUUUUUACUCUACUUUAUGUGUAUUUCAGGACAAGGUCUCAGGGAGGAUGAUUGGCAAUGCUAGAGAGUCUAAAGGUCUCUAUUUUCUUGAAAACGGGGACAGUUCAGUAAAUCUUAGUUCAGCUUGUUUGAAAUCUGUUCAAGUUGAUAAUAAAGUCAUGUUAUGGCACUAUAGACUUGGUCAUCCUAUUUUUCAUUAUUUGAAACUCUUUUUACCUCAGUUGUUUAUGAAUAAAAGUACAUCCUCUUUCCAGUGUGAAUUUUGUGAAAUGGCUAAACACAGACGUUCAUCUUUUUCUUCCCAAAAGUACCAUGCCACAAAACCCUUUAAGUUAAUCCAUAGCGAUGUUUGUGGACCUUCUAAGGUAGCAACUAUAAAUGGAAAAAGGUGGUUUGUGAGUUGCAUAGAUGAUCACACUAGACUAACUUGGGUGUACUUAUUGAAAGACAAAAAUGAAGUAAAAGAUGUUUGAGGCUUUUUAUGUUAUGGUCGAGACACAAUUUCAUGAGAAGAUUCAAAUAUUUCGGAGUGAUAAUGGGAGAGAGUAUUUUAAUGACCAUCUAGGCAAUUUUUUCACUUCCAAGGGAAUAGUGCACCAAAGUUCAUGUCCUAAUACACCCCAACAAAAUGGAGUAGCUGAGAGAAAAAAUAGGCAUCUUAUGGAGGUAACUAGAGCCUUAAUAUUCACAAGUGGAGUCCCUAAAUUUGUUUAGGGAGAAGCUCUUUUGACAUCCACUUAUCUUAUUAAUGGGAUGCCUUCCCGUGUUCUAGGUUUUAAAACCCCUUUUAGUAUGUUCAAGACAUUCUUCCCUACUUCUAGAUUGACCAAUGAUCUACCUUUAAGAGUCUUUAGGUGUAGUGUAUUUGUUCAUGUACAUGAUCAUAAUAGGAGUAAACUUGAUCCAUGUGCUAAAAAAUGUGUUUUUGUUGGCUAUGCCCCUAGUCAAAAGGGAUACAAGUGUUAUGACCCAAACACUAGGAAGGUUAUUGUCACAAUGGAUGUCACCUUUUCUGAAUCUCAGAUAUUUUUUGGAACUCAUCUUCAGGUGGAGAAACAUAGUGAAGAUUCAAUGGAUAGUAAGGAUUCUCGCGACCUCACAUGCGAGAAACAAAAGGAUCUACCUUUGAUGAUAGAUACGGGAAAUAGUACUUUUGGUAGUAACAACCCUGAUAAGGUAAGAGAUCCCAACUUAUAUAAUGAAAAUAAGGAAACUGAGAUAGUAGAACCUUUUCAUGAUACAAUUAAUGACAAGGCCAUGGAACAAACAAAAGAAUUGCAGGUUUACAUGAGAAGAAACCAGAUUCAAGAAAAAGAGACUAAGGACGCUCAUCAGAACCAAAAGUUCACUCUGCAAGAUUUUACUCAUAUAUAAGGUAAUUCUCCAGAACCUAAUUCAAAUUUACCCCUUGUUAUUUUAGACCUUGAUCUUCCAAUUGCCAAAUGUAAAGGAGUAAGAAAAUUCACAAACCAUCCCAUGUCAAAUUUUGUGUCAUAUAGAAACUUGUCUCCUUCCUAUAUAGCUUUUCUUUCUCAAUUAUCUGGAAUGGAGAUACCGAGAAAUGUGCAGGAUGUUUUGAAUGUUCCCAAGUGGAAAGAGGCAAUUCUAGAGGAGAUGAAUCCUCUUAAGAGAAAUGAAACAUGGGAAAUGGUAGAACUACCACGUGGAAAGAAAACAGUGGGUUGCAAGUGAGUGUUUACCAUCAAAUUUAAAUCAGAUGGGUCCUUGGAGAGGUAUAAGGCACGGUUGGUAGCAAAAGGGUUCACUCAGACCUAUGGAAUUGACUAUCUUGAGACAUUCGAUCCAGUUGCCAAGUUGAAUUCAAUCCGGGUUCUUCUGACCAUUGCUGCCAAUCUUGAUUAGCCCCUUCAACAACUAGAUGUGAAGAAUGAAUUCAUGAAUGGAAAACUCGAAGAAGAAGUCUACAAGGAUCCUCCUCCGGGUUUUGAAGAAAGGUAUGGAACUAGAUAUGAAGAAUGCAUUCUUGAAUGGAAAACUCGAAGAAGAAGUCUACAUGGAUCCUCCUCCGGGUUUUGAAGAAAGGUUUAGAACUAGAGUGUGCAAGCUAAAAAAAUCUCUCUACGGGCUCAAACAAUCUCCAAGAGCUUGGUUUGAGAGAUUUACUCAGUUUGUAAAAAAACAAGGGUACACUCCAGGGUAAGUAGAUCACAUCAUGUUCAUUCGCCACUCUCUUGAGGGAAAGGAAACUAUCCUGAUAGUGUAUGUUGAUGAUAUUAUACUUACAGGAGAUGAAUUGCCCUAAAUGAAGAAUUUAAAUACACAGUUGGCCUCGGAAUGCGAGAUCAAAGAUUUAGGUCAGUUGAAAUAUUUUCUUGGCAUGGAAGUAGCAAGAUCAAAAGAAGGCAUUAUGGUGUCACAAAGAAAGUAUGUACUAGAUCUUCUAAAAGAGACAGGCAUGAGUGGUUGUCGUCCAGCUGAAACACCUAUUGAUCUGAAUAUAAAAUUUGGAAACAAAGAAGGAAAUUUAGUUGACCAAAGUCAAUAUCAGAGACUAGUGGGGAAGUCGAUCUACUUAUCACACACUCGACCUAAUAUAGCUUUUGAUGUAAGCUUAGUGAGUCAAUUUAUGCACUCUCCGAAGGAAGAGCACCAAGAAGCGGUCUACAGGAUUCUAACAUAUCUGAAAAGUUCACCAGGGAAAGGAUUGUUUUUUAGAAAAGGUCAAGAUAGAGGCAUUGAAAGCUUUACAGAUGCAGAUUGGGCAAGUUCUACUAUUGAUAGGAGGUCUACAUCAGGAUAUUGUACUUUUAUCUUGGGAAAUCUCGUGACUUGGAGGAGCAAAAAGCAGAAUGUUGUAGCUCGUAGCAAUGCUGAAGCUGAAUACUCAUCUAUGGCCUAUGGGAUCUGUGAAAUGAUUUGGCUCAACAAAAUGAUGGAAGAAUUAAAAAGGUUGUUUGUGUUACCAAUGAAGUUGUAUUGUGACAACAAAGCCUCCGUAAGUAUUGCUCACAAUCCAGUUCAACAUGACAAAACAAAGCAUGUUAAAGUGGACAAACACUUCAUAAAAGAGAGGAUUGAAGAAGGAAACGUGUGCAUGCCUUUCGUCAUAACAAAUCAACAAAUUGCGGAUAUUUUCACAAAAGACUUGUUUAAACCAAAGUUUGAAAUUCUUGUAAGCAAGUUAGGCAUGACAGAUAUUUACAUGCCAACUUAAGGGGGAGUGUUGAUUUGUAAAUAUUUAAGUGUGAUCAGAUAUGAUUUUGUUAGAUUUAAAUUGAUCUUAUAAAAUCAUAUAUGAUAUGCUAUUGAAUAGGUUAGAAUAUUAGAUCAAUAAUAAAAUCAUCCGUUGAUUCUCAAAUCUGUCAAAAUCAAGGGAUAUGAUUGCUAGUUAGUUCAGUUUUCUGUACUAUAAAUAUGUAUCUCUAUGGAUGAAUAAGAUUGUACAAUUUUGGUACCAAAACUUACAUCGAUUAAGGAAGAGAAUAUAGCUUUAAGAAUGAGGCAAGGCCAACCCAAAGUCUAAGUUGAAGUUACAGGGCUGGGAGGUAUGAGUUGAUCGGAUGCAGGGAAGCCCAGGAAAUCCGCUCCUAUCAAUCAUUCGUCAGCCCAAGAUCGUUAACUAUGAUCGGAAGACUCAACUAAAGAAGAGGAAGCUAAAGAGGAGAAGAAAGAUUUUGGAUAAGAUAACUUUAUUAUAGAACAAGACUCUUUGAUUUAGGUUGUUUUUGGGUUUUUCUUAGGUUGCAUACCAAUGACUAAGGUCACCCCUAUUUAUACUUGUGUGGGAUGGUUCUAGAUAUUACAACAUAUAGAUUAUUCUAUCUUUUACUUCAAAUAUCUAACUCUCUAGAAUAUUUAGAUAUUUCUUCAAGCCAACUUCUGUAAAAUAUCUAGAAAUUUCUUUAAAAUAAUUAUUCUCGAUAUGACACUAGACUAUUCUAGAAACAAUACUAGAAAAAUCAAUGCAUUACAAAAAUCAACUUUAUCAUUUUUCACAGUUUAUGCAUCCCUUAAAGUGUGAAAGAUGCCGUUAAGAAGAGUUUGGUUGUCCAUUUAAUUUCCCUUCAUUGAAGUAAGGUAACAGUGAAGCAGGAAAGGAAAGAUUUGAGAUGCACAAUUACAAAAAAAAAAGAUUGAAGGUGUGCAUUAUGUUUAUUUGUAACUUGCUGGAUAAAUUUGAGUCGUGUCUAAAGAAACUGGAAAGACAACACAAAGAUGUAAUUCUAUUGUACUCUUGUUGGUUUUGGUAACAAGGAGAUAUAUGCACAAUCCAUUUUUUUUAGUUCUAAAGGAUUUAAGAGGCAAUUCAAAUUCCAUAUAUAGGCAGUUUGCUCCUAUAUUGUUCUGAGUUUUGUAAGAUUCUAAGAAGGGUAGAGGGUGCUGAUGAUGCUUUGUAUAUAUUUUGCCAUAGUAGUUUAGCUGCAAUGAUGAAGGGGUAUGUCCAUGAUGUUAAGUGUGUGUUAAGAUUGCAUGAUGCUUUUCCUUUUGUUCGUGAGUUGGAAACAAGGUUAUCACAUGCUUUAGAAUUGAAUAUGCAAUCAUCUGAGUACAUACAAUUAUUAGAGAGUGGUGUGCAUGAGUUUAUUAAGUUCAUGCAUCCAGUAAAGUGUGCAAUAAGGCGUCAAGAAGCGUUUGGCAGUACGGUCAGUUUCCCUUCCUUGAUGCAAGAUGAAGCAAAAAGAUUUGAGAUUAAAAGCGUGCAUCAUGUUUUUUGUGACUUGCUGGAAAAAUUGGAGAUGUGUCCAAAGGAACUGGAAAGCCAGCUGGGUUUGGUAAACAAAGGAAGAGGUGAGCCUAUUGUAGGUUGUUGGUCCCAGUAUCUUUUAAUUCUAAAGGAGUUAGAAAGCAUUUCAAAGCUGUAUAAGGGUUUGGAGGAAAUGUUUUGGGACAAUUUGAGGCAAAGAAGAGUUGUGUUGUGCUUUCUUAUAGGUAAACUUUCAAAAAGGUGUAAAGAAUAUCAGUGGAUUCUUGAGCACAAGGAAGUAACACAUUUUAAGAUAAGGCAGUGUUUUGCCUUGAAGAUGCUUCGAGAAGGGAGGCAUAAGAACAAGGAGCUUUACGAGAUGCUCAUUUGCAGGUUUCAUUUGUUCUUGUCCCUCCCUUCUCGAAGCAUCUUCAAGGUAAAAUGCUGCCUUAUCUUAAAAUGUGUUACCUCCUUGUGCUAAAAAAUCCACUAAUAAUCUGUAGACCUUUUUGAAAGUCUAACUAUCAGAGAGCACAAUUCAACUCUUCUUUGCCUCAUCUUCUCCCUAAACAUAUCCUCCAAGCCAUUAUUCAACUUUGAAAUGCUUUCUAACUCCUUUAGAAUUAAAAUAUAUUGGGACCAACAACGUACAAUAGGCUCACCUCUUUCUUUGUUUACCAAACCAGCUGGUUUUCCAGUUCCUUUAGACACAACUCCAAUUUUUCCAGCAAGUCACAAAAAAACACGAUGCACGCCUUUAAUCUCAAAUCUUUCACUUCCUACUUCAUCUUGCAUCAAGGAAGGGAAACUGACCGGACUGUCCAAUGUUUCUUGAUGCCUUAUUGUACACUUUACCGGAUGCAUGAACUUAAUAAACUCACACAUAUCACUCUCUAAUAAUUGUAUAAACUCAGCUGAUUGCACAAUCAAUUCUAAAGCAUGUGAUAACCUUGUUUCCAACUCACGAACAAAAGGGAAACAUCAUGCAGUCUUAACACACACUUAACAUCAUGGACAUACCCCUUCAUCAUUGCAGCUAAACUACUCCCACAAAAUAUAUACAAAGCAUCAUCAACACCCUGUACCCAUCUUUGAAUCUUACAAAACUCGAACAAUAUAGGAGCAAACUGCCUAUAUACGAAAUUUGAAUUGCAUCUUAACUCCUUCAGAGCUAAAAAAAAUAAUGACCAAUAAAGUAAAAUAGGUUCACGUCUUCAUUUCUUAUGAAACCCAACUCGCUUUCCUAUUUCAUUAGACACAACUCUAAUUUGUCCAAGUUACAAAAUACAUGAUGCAUACCUUCAAUCUAUCUUUUUUUCUUUUGUAAUUGUGUGUCUCAAAUAUUUUCCUUCCAGCUUCACUCUCACCUUGCUUCAAUGAAAGGAAAAUAAUCAUAAAACCUAAUGCUUCUGGAGGGAAUACUGCACACUUUAUGGGAUGUAUAAACUUGAUAAACCCAUGUACAUCACAACCUCAUAUAUAACUCUAUAAACUGAACUAAUCACACACUCAAUUAAACUUGUUUCCAACUCGCAAACAAUGAAAAAUAUCCUGUAAUAUUACCACAUCCCUAACAUCAUACCAAUCCAUCAUAGCUUCUAAAAUACUCCUAAAUAAUAUAUAAAAAGAAUCAUGAACACCAGCAACCCCUCUCACAAGUUUACAGAACUCUAACAAUAUAGGCGCAAACUCCCUAUAUACGAUUAUGGGGUGGGGAAACAUGCAUUACAUGAAUCUAUAAAUUUAAAAAUGCAUCUAUAAGAAACUUGUUUGCUAAAUAUAGAAGGAAGCAUAUAAAUAUUUACCUGAGCUGCACAAAUAGAGGUGUGAAUAAAUACUAGGAAAUAUGCAUUAGAUCUACUAAUAUCAUCAUUUAGGGUCAUUGUGAGAAGCAUGGUAAGAAUCUUCGUCAUACAAGAGAUAUUAGAAUUAAUCAUUCGGUAAUCAUUGUAGUUGCAUAGUCAUGAAUAAACGAGUUUAAUUCAUUUAUCAGCUUUCACAUGUGAGGAUGCUGCGUGCUUUACAGUUUCCCAAAGAGUUACAGGGUGUCGCCAUUUUGGAUAUCACGCUCAGAUAUCAUUUGGGACAAAUGAAGUUGUUUCCCACUGUAGUGUAAUUGUUUCUCCAUAGAUGAUACCCUAAAGGUCUAUUGGAUUGGUCGGAUUUCAGUGAUUCAUUGGAUUUUUUUAUUAACUGAGGCAAUUGAGUUGAGGAAUUAGCUUGAAGGACUAGAGUUUCUCUGCCAUAAACAUACAAACAAAGAACUGAAUAGAGCUGACAGAUAAAGAGAGAUGGUUUCAUCUUUUCAGACCCUCAUGGCAGUGGCAUAAUCAUCGAACUUGUGUUUGAUGUUGUAAUAUGGUGUAACUGAUACACCAGUGGAAGUUGUGAGUAGAAAGAGUUGUUUGAAUUUGAUAUUUGAUGUGCUUAAAGCAAUGAUAUAUGAGGAGUCCCAAGUUAGGGAAUCACAACAUUAUUUUGUUAAUCUAGUGAAAUUUGUCGCCUUCCCUCCCCCACCCUCCCUAAAUUGCCUAUUAAGUCAUCCAUCGUGUCCCUCCUUCCCUCUAGCACCAUGCGUGCAAAUCAAAUUAAAAAUACUCCUCCUCAUGAGUUGAGUAGAAAAAUACAAUGAUAAAAAAUAUCUAAGGCCUUUUAUAAAUGUCAUCGUAUAAUUGGAUUCAAAUGUAAUUGUCACGUGGUAAUCAUGUGACAGGGGGUGCUCAAUAACAUUUGUGGCCUAAAGCAAAACUUUAUAAGAGGCCUUACUUUUAUUUGAAAAAAAAAAUCUCAUGUUUAUUCUUAUGUAAAGUCUUUUUUUCUAGUUUUUUAAGCUAAAAGUUAGUAAUCGUCAUUUUUCUUAAUAUAACUAUUUCUCUAAUAAUUCUUUUACUAUUCAAAAUAUAGUCAAUCCAUUAAAUCUUUCUCAAACCAUCACCUAAAGAUCUCCUUUUUAGAUUGUAUUCAAAUUAAUUUCUCUUUUUUAUUUUAAUUUUGUGCAAUUAUAUUCAUAUAUUUUCUAGUUAAUGCAUUUGAAUUCUAGUCAAAGCCACUUAAAGUUGCCCUAAUAUAGCCAUUAAAAUCUCUACCUGUGAAAAUCUUCUUGGUAUUCGGUAUACCUCUCACUACCUAGUCUAAAUCAUCCCAAAAAAACUUUUUGGCUUCCUUAUCUAUGCCCACUUGAUGCACAUAAGUACUAAUGACAUUCAAAUUUAUCCUACCAAUGACUAGCUUAAUCAUCAUCAUCCUAUAAUUGAUCCUCCUAACCUCCACCACUCAUUCCCUAAGGUCCUCGUCUACUAUAACACCUACUUUAUUUCUAUCCCUCGAGCCUCUUGAGUACCAUAACUUAAACUUGUCCACAUCUCUCACCUUGGUACCUACCCAUCUGGUCUCAACACAAGGUCUAUGUACCUUCCACUUCAGAUAAUCUUCACCAACUCUAUGGACUUUCCCAUUAGUGACCUUGUGUUCCAUGACCCUACUCUCAACAUAGAAGAAACUUUAACCCCCUCACGCCUACUUCCCCUUGCUCCAGACCUCAAUCGAAGACAUGACCCUAGUUCACCAUCAUUCCCAAGAUGUAAAUGAAAUAUGAAUCUAAUAAACUAUUGAAUCAAGUGGAGAGUGUAGGGCCAACUAAAAAUGCCAAGAAUUGAAAAAAAGAAAAGCAAAAAAUAAUAUAAUGGAUGAACAAAAGCAACCAGCUUUAGAAACCAUAGGAAUUAUGCAAUAUAUGGCGCUAUAGAUGGAUCAAGAACCAAAGAGUCACAUAGAGAAAAGUGAACAAGUGAUAGAGAUAUAUAAUAAUAUAUUAACAUAAUAUGUUAGAUCGAGUAAGAUUUUGAUAAUUGACAAAUAGGUGAAUAGAUGCGGGGAGCCGGUUACUGAAACAUGUUCCUAUCACAGAGAGUCUAACUGGGAUUAGGAGAAGAGGUAUCACGUGAAGAAAAAGGAUAAAAGGCAGUGGAUGAAGCAUGUUUAUGACAAAAGACUUGUUUGCAUAAAGUUUACUUUCAUAGUGAAAGUCUACAAGGAAAGCAAAGUCGUAUAAAGAAGGAGAAGCUUGAAUCUAUAAAUACAGUAAGGGUUUCACAAAGAAAUUUACACACUUACAUAGAGAGUUACAAGAAGAACAUAAUCAAAUAAGUGAGAGAUCAUAUUUGAGAUAAAUUGGAUUGAAGAUAAAAAAGCAAUUGAUAUCGAGAAACAAGAUUGCAGAAUGCUAACUCUCAUAGAAAAUGUUCAACUUUGAAUGAUAGCAGGGACCAGUUGCUAGCCGCUAUGACCAACUUAAAAUUUGAAUACAUUGAUCUUGAAAAAAUAAACAUUGGUCUAAAGGGGAAAACCAACUUCUACAAAGAAAAGGUUGACCAACUUGAUUCUGUUAGAAAAUGAGAUAUUUCUAGAUGGUUUUUGUUUAAUGGUUUUUUUAAAAUAUUAUGUUUAGUAUGUAAGGGAAAGGUAAUCCUUGUAUUAUGGAAUAUGUUUUGUAAGAAAGUCAAUAGUGGUUGGAUAUGUAUGGUCCUCUACUUACUUUGGAAAAGGUUAUGUAGAUAUAUGUGUGUAUGCUUUUUGAAAUCUUAAUAUGAAUGAAAAGAACUGUUGUUGAACUAAGUCCUUUCUUCUUUCUAGUUUAUAAUACUAACACUAGUAUCAAGAGCCCUUUUUCUUGAGGGAUCUGUGAAGGCAAGAAGGCUAAGGUUUUUUCUCCAGUUCUUCUAAGGUGAGAGCUGAGCAGCAGUAACAUGGCAUCCAACGGCUUCUUGGGUGUAGGCCCUCCUAUGUUUACAGGAGAAAAUUAUCACAUAUGUGUGAUAAAUAUGAAGGCUUAUCUCAAAGCUCUUAUCUCAAACAGUAGUUGAAAUGGCUAUAUGUUUUUUGCUGGAAAAGAAACUGCCACAAAGCUUUUGGGUAGAAGUUAUUCAUACUUGACUGUAUUUGUUAAAUAGGCUGCCAAUAAAAGUUGUGGAUGAAAAGACUCCUAUUGAGGCAUGGAGUGGAAUACAACCAUCUGCCAAGCAUCUAAAAGUUUUUGGUUCGAUAUGUUAUUCUCAUGUUCCUUCUGUCAAAAGAAGCAAACUUGAACCAAAAGGUGAAUUGGGGAUAUUUAUUGGUUAUUCAUCACAAGCCAAGGGUUAUAGAGUUUUCAACUUGAAAACAAAAAGUAUUUCAAUCCGAAGAGAUGUAGUUGUGGAUGAUCAUUCUUAUUGGAACUGAGAUAAGGAGAAAAUUGAGAAAGAUAAUGCAGUUUUUCAGAACUUGAGUCCGCUUCCUGAAAUCCAAUCAUUUGGGUCUGAAACUCUGGAAGAAGACGAAGAAUCAGACAGGAAAUCCUCACUUGAUUCACCAAUUUGGAAGACAAGGUCCCUCUCCGAGAUAUAAGAAAGAUGUAAUGUUGCAAUUUCGGUACCAAAUAGCUAUCAAGAAGCAUCAAGACAUGAAGUUUGGAUUUAAGCUAUAAAGGAGGAGAUUGGUAUGAUAGAAAAGAAUGAUACUUGGAAGUUAGUUGAUAAACUAAAAAACAGAAAUGUGAUCGGGGUGAAGUGGGUUUACAUAACAAAAUUUAAUCCAGAUAGCUCAGUUUAUAAAUACAAAGCAAGGCUUGUUGUGAAAGGUUAUGCACAAGUUGUAGGUAUGGAUUAUGGAGACACUUUUGUACCUAUUGCACGACAUGAUACAAUAAGGUUGUUAUUUGCUUUGGCAGCUCAAUCAAAUUGGAAGCUGUGUCAUUUGGAUGUGAAAUCGGCAUUCUUAAAUGGACUAUUGCGGGGAGGAGAUCUAUGUUGAUCAAACCAGAAUGCUUUCAAGUUGCAGGAAUGGAGGAUAAAGUCUACCGACUUCAUAAGGCAUUGUAUGGAAUUAAAGCUAGGCUCCUCGAGCAUGGUACAGUGAGAUUGAUGAUCAUCUCAUUCAUUGUGACUUCAAGAGAAGUGAAAAUGAAGCCACUUUUAUAUGGUAGAAAAAGGCUAAAGGAGGAGAUGUGUUUGUGGUGUCACUCUAUGUUGAUGAUCUUCUGGUAACAUGAAGCAAUGAAGCUAUGGUGAAUCAGUUCAUGCAAGAAAUGGAGACCAAGUUUGAAAUGUCAGAUUUGGGUGAAAUGAGUUACUUUCUGGGAAUGGAGAUUCAUCAAGCUACUGAUGGAAUCUUCAUUUCACAGAGAAAAUAUGCAUGGGAUAUUCUUAAAAGGUUCAAGAUGGAGAGGUGCAAGCCUGUACCGACCCCACUGAUUCACAAUGAAAAGAUUUCAAAGUUUGAAGGUGGAGACAGGACCGAUCCAACAGUUUAUAGAAGUUUGAUUGGUAGUUUGUUGUAUUUGACAGCAACAAGACCCGAUCUCAUGUUCGCGGCAAGUCUACUAUUGAGGUUUAUGCAAGCUCCAAGUCAAGUUCUUCUUGGUGUUGCUAAACGGACGUUGAUAUAUAUCAAAGGAACUGUUGAUUAUGGUAUUUGGUUUAAAAGGAAAGAGCAAGGGCAACAGAUGGGUUAUUCAUAUAGUGAUUGGGCAAGAACCAUUGAUGAUAUGGAAAGCACUUCUGGAUAUGCUUUUACACUUGGUUCAGGCAUGUUCUCAUGGAAUUCAAAGAAGCAAGAGGUGGUAGCUCAAUCUUCUGCAGAAGCAGAAUACAUCGCCGCUGCUGGUGCAACUAAUCAGGCUUUAUGGUUAAGAAAGAUUCUACAUGAUCUGGAGCAAAAUGACAUUGAAGCUACCGUCAUUAAGGUUGAAAGCAAGUCAGCAAUAUCUAUGGCCAAGAAUCCAGUGCAACGUGGUCGUAGCAACCAUAUAAAUGUGAAGUUUCAAGCUAUCAGGCAAGCAGAGGAGGAUGGCAAAGUUGAACUUGUUCAUUGCAGCUUAGAUCAGCAGAUUGCAGACAUCAUGACCAAGGUUCUUUCUAAGGGGAAAUUUGAAGUUCUAAGGGCUAAGUUGGGAGUGUCAAAGAAAAAUCUCAAGGAGGAGUGUUAGAAAAUGAGAUAUUUUUUGAUGGUUUUUGUUUAAUGGUUCUUUUUAAAUAUUAUGUUUAGUAUGUAAAGGAAAGGUAGUCCUUGUUUUAUGGAAUAGGUUUGUAAGAAAGUCAAUAGUGGUUGGAUAUGUAUGGUCCUCUAUUUACUUUGGAAAAGCUUAUGUAGAUAUAUGUGUGUAUGUUUUUUGAAAUCUUAAUAUGAAUGAAAAGAAAUGUUGUUGAACUAAGUCCUUUCUUCUUUCUAGUUUCUAAUACUAACAGAUUCUUGUAACUUAUCUCUUAAAACUGAAAUCUUGAAAUUAAGUGUCAUUGGAAAAGGGAAGGGCAAGAUUAUUGAUGACCUUAUCAGAUGUGAACAGGAUCUUAAGAGACUUAAAACUGAAUUGUUCUCAGAAAAAGAAAAAUCUAUAAGAAUUAAUCAGGAACUGGCUAGUACUAAAUAUGAGCUUGAGAGAGAAAAUAAAUGGACUCGGUCAUUCAUGAUUAUGACUCAACCGAGUAACAACACACAUAGGGAAACACUGUAAUUAAUCACUCUAGGGUUGCAUGUCUAAAAUCCAGAGCUAACAUAAAUAAAAACAUCAAAGCUAUCAUAACAGAAAAAAACAAAAAUGAAUCACAUCGAAGGAACAAGAAUUUUUAAAAAAAACUGGAAAUACUUUAACAAAAAUGGAUGAAAAGAGAUCUCUUUCAUCCUUCUGAUCUAAGGAAAGGACCCAAGCUAAUCUGGGCUCCUAAAUCUAACCCUUGAAAUUUGCUAAAAAAAGUGAGAGGAAGCAAGAAAUACCGGUACAUGGAUAGUGCUUACUCAAGCCAUAUAACUGGAAACAAAUUAAAAUUCCUCUCCCUUGAAUAAGAGAAGGGUGGAAUGAUUGCAUUUGGUGGUGGAAACAAAGGCAAAAUCAAAGGCAUUGGCGGGAUAGGUAAAUCUGAUAAACAUGCAAUUGAAAAGGUAUACCAUGUUGAAGGACUGAACCACAAUCUACUCAGCAUAUCACAACUCUAUGAUAAAGGACAAGGUAACCCUCUACUCUACAUGUGUUGAAGUGAUAAACCUGAAAAUUGAGGAAGUGUACAUUUUUUAUAUUGCAAAAGUACCAGCCGAAGAUCGUGCAUGACUAAGAUCCUGUUUGGAUUGGCCAAAAAAUAGCUUUUAAGUCAAAAAAUAAGAAGUAUGGAGAGUCCUACUUUAGAUUUUAAACCUUUUAAAGUCAUUUCAAACUUAUUUAAGUUAUAUUUAACUUUUCCAAACACUCUCAAAACCUAAUAAUGACUUAAAAGUAGGUUUGACCAACUUUUAAGUCAAAUUCAAACGGGCUCUAAGUGUGAUGCACAAUGAUCCUCUACUAUGGCACAAGGACUGGGACAUGCCAUUCAUGUUCAGCUAAACGAACUCAUCUCCAAGGACUUGGUGAUAGGACUCCCUAAAACUGAGUUCAAGGAAGACAAGGUUUGUGAAGCAUGUGCCCAAGGUAACCAAGUAAAUACAUCUUUUAAAUCCAAACAGAUCAUCAGCCACUACAAGAAACAGGAUUUAUUGUGGCAACAUUUAGUGGCGAUCUUAUUUGUUGCAACAAAAGCUACAUAUUCAGCAACGACAAAUGAAGAUAAACCUUUAGUGGCGAGUUAUGUUAAGUUGCCGCUAAUAGACGUUGCUAAUUCUCAAUUAUUAAUUCCCGCUAACAUGAAAAUUUUUGCUCAAUAUUUUUCAGUGGCAACCUGUAAAUUGUCGCAUCUAAAUGUCCUUUGUGGUGAUAUUGUCGCUCCUAAUAGUCAAUUUAAUUUAAACAUAAAAUUUAAAAGAAAACAAAAGAAAAUAUCUCAUAAAAGAAGUAUACACACAACUCUUAUACAACCACUCUUCUUCUCAAAGUUUCUCGGUUUUCUCACCCUUCGCUCAACUUCUCAUAGAAAUUCUUCAAAUUUUCAAUCUCAAAUUUGUUAAAUCGCUACUCAUAUCACCAACCCUAAUCAAGUAUGGGCUCAAUUUCCUUUUAGAUUGUAUUUUUUUGUCAGAUUUUACCUCUUUUUCUUUCACCCAUUCAUAAAUAUGUAGAAGUUAGAAGCGGUUUGAAGGUUUAAGGCAAAAGAUUCUCGAAAAUCUAUAGAUAUCAGAAGUUGUUUGAAGGUUUUAAGAAGAAAGGUUGGAAGUUUGAUAAUCACUGCGAGCUUUUGAUGUUUUCGAUGUUUUGAAGUUGUUCAAAGGCUUGUAAGGUACCACACAUGUUUUAUCCUAUGCUUGUUUUCCGUAUUUUAUCGAUUCUCGAUUUCCACUGUGUGCUCAUAUUAAUGUAGAGAAAAAUACUUUUUUAUGUUAGAUUUACUUGAAUUUUUUGUAUUGAAAAUGUAUUCUAUUGAAUUUGAAGUAUUUAGUUAUAAGAAAUUUAUUGAAAAAAUUAAUUUUUUGAACAUGUACAUUUGUUCUUCUAAUAUGGACAUGAUUGUCAAUUGUUGUAUCACCAUGUACUAUAGAAGUUCUGCUCAUAUUUUUCAAGAAGAAGAAGAAUAUCCUACUCUUUUUCUCUAUCCAUCUUGUUGAUUGACACCAAAUAGUACUUGUAGUAUGCGAAAAAUUUCUCGGAGAUAGGAAAUGUACCAAUUAACAUUAACAUGACACUAGUAUCCAAAGGCUAGAACAUCACUAUGUAUGUACUUGAGAAGUCACAUUAACAACUUAUCUAAUGCUAAAGUGUGAGAAGAAACAAUGGAAGAAUACAAUUGGGAAAUGUAGAGAACUCUACAAAUUUGUUCCCCAAAUGUUAUUUCACAUUGUUGCAUUAAUAAUUGAUUUUCCAGCCUCUUUCUUCAUUUUCAUUGAUUUUUCACUCUCUUGAAACUACACGAACACUUGUUGCAUAUAGUAGAUCAUGAAAGGUGUUGGAUAAGAGCAGGAAGAAUAGGGAGAACAAGUAUUUUUUUUCUUUUUUUUGACUAAGAUCUUCUGAUAAGAUAGAAGCUGAGGAAAACGAGUACCAUAUCGAAGAAAAACUAAUGCAAUAUAGAAGGGCCAGUAUUGGUUACAAGAGACGGUUAGUAAAACGCAAACAAUACUAUAAAAAAUUUCUCAGUACAAGCAACCAUCUGAAAAGAAGAGGUUUGUUUUCUCCAGUAUGCUGAUUGCAGCUCCAAACAAAGGACUUUGGCAGAUUAGAGGGAGACUAGGUUGUUUACAUACGGAAAGCAUCGAUAAUGAAUGCAAGCUUCACUGCUCAGCAAUUUUGUUGCACAGGAAUUGAAAUCGUAUGGAACGUUCUUUAUGCACAAUCCGCCUCCAUUAUAUCACUCUCAACAUGUAAAAUUGAUUAGCUCCUUCCUACAUCCCCGACAAUUUUACUCUCUGUUUCUCUGACCACAUUCUGAUUUGGCUUUUCAUUUGCAUUGUAUUUGAGUGGGCAUUAACCAAAAUGUUUAACCUUAUUAUAUUACCAGUUACAUCAACCUUACAAAGCUUUCCACUAAAAGCCCCCAAGAAGCCAUGAGUGUCGUUGCCUUGAAGGAGCGGUGACCUCUCCUUUGGUUAGAUCAAAAUCAAGAAUAUUACCAGUUGUCAUCCAGUAAAUAAUGCCAUUCACAUGGACCCCUGAUUUUGGCAAUACUUUCUAGCUCCAAUAUAAUUUUGUACUCUGCUAUAAAGUUGAGCAACGGUGGUUCAAAUAAGAGCACAAUUGUUGGAUUUGAUCCAUGAUUAGCAUUUGAUUUUUGUUCUUAGAUUACAUGAACUGACAUUCAUUCUCUGUACUAACUCUAACUUGUUAGUAUUGUGGUUCUUAGAAUAGAAACUAAUUCAUGACACCUAUAGCUUUAACUUUAUAAUUUGACUCAGUGUUUUAAGUGGAAUCAGUGGUUUACAUUUCUAUCAAUGAAACAACAGUUCAGUAAAAUGUCCCACCAUUUUUAUUUGAUUGAUAUAAUACUUUGCUUUAUGACUUGAUAUUUUCUUUGGCAGGUAGAUAUAAUCAUUUUUAAUUUCUGAUUCUGAUACUUCUCCUAUUUUAUCUAAUGUUGCAGAAAAUGAAAGGAACUGGCAGAGGACGAGGACAAGGUAAAAGUGGAAGAGAUGGUGUAGGAAGUGGAUGUGGUAAUUUUUUAGAACACAAAAGUUUAUGAACUACGUCUCAACCACAAAUAUAACCAAUAAGAGUUGUUGAAAUAUCAUUAGAGACUGGACAAUAACCUAACCCAAUUCAAGGACGUCUAUAGGCAGAACAAAUAUCAAGUGCCCCUCUCCAAAGAACAUCUCCCCAGAUAUGAUCAUCAAGAAAUCUAGAAGAAAGUAUGCAACCCUCCCUAGAGGUUGAAACUGGUAUAGGUUAGUUCACGUCCCUCCCUUGUAGGAAACGAUUGAUUAAUGCUUUGCUGGUUUAUUCAUCUUGACAUUUUGGAAUAUUAGAAAGAUUUUGCACCCUCUAUUUAUUGAAACUUUUUGCAUUUGUUAGAGGAAAUCUGUUGGGUUUUUCUUUGAUAGCUGUUAUCAUCAUUAUAAUUUGAUCAACAAGAAUUGCUUUUGAUAGCAACAACUAUGAUAGCAGUGAAAACUUUGUUUGCUGCCAUCACUGCCUUGUUCACUUGAUCAUCUACCCUAUGUAUGAUAAUUGCAUUCUAUGCUUCCUUUCUACCAACCUGCAUAAAAAAAGCCAGAUCAUGACAAGUUAAUGUUUGAGCAGUUGCAUAUGUUUCAAUAUAAGUAGAUAUACUUAAUUGCAAGGUGCAGUCUGAGGGUAUUAAAUGAGAAAUCAACGACUAUAUGAAUUAUAUGAAUCUUCACUGAACAUGUUGGACUAAAAAUAAAUUUUACCUGAACGGCUCGAAGAACUACAUUAGUAAGUGGGGGAAAUGGAGUAUUGAGAUUGCCAGAGGCCCCAUUUACCGCACCUUAUGUCACCAUUUCUAAAUUUAUAAAUUUCGUAACCUUUUUAUUACCUUUAUGCCAUGACCUUCCAUAGCAGUGCUUGUUGGCAAAGUGAUAGCAAACAUAGAGGCUAGUGUGUCUUCAACAACGAAAAGUAUGCGUCAAUAGGUGCAAGUUGAUAUGAACCGAAAGUUGCAAGAAGAACGUGAACAAAUGACUGCCGAUUUAAAAAGGAAUAUGGAAGAAGAUUUGCAAAAACAAUUGGAAGGGAACAUGAACACAUGAAAGGUGAAGUAGACAAGAUGUUCCAAGAACAAAUGGCCGCUGUCAUGACUAGAAUUCAACAGGUACUUUAUCUUUUUCCUUCCUAACAAUUCUAUUCAGUUCUUUGAAAGUUUAGAGUUGUUGGUGCAUCAGUUGAUAUUGGUGGUGCCAUAAUUACGUAGUGUCAUUUGUGUUAUUGAGCCAGUCCAUUUGAGAAUUGAUGUAGAUUUGGAUUAAUUUCAAUGUCUUCUCUGGAAUUGAGUUGUUAUGUGAUGAUUGCUUUGCCGCAUAAAGAUCAAAACUAAUUUCAUUAGCAUUAGGAUAUAUAUUGUGGGGAGCAACUUGUUUUAUUCUUUUGUCAAGCUGCUGAGUUGCAUAAGCUCGAAAAAUAAAAUGGAAAUUGGGUGUUGCAAGGAUGUAGUGAAAAUUAUAGCAAAACAUAAGGAUACUUUUGGUUAAAAAACUCUUAGAUCCUUCCCAAUUCUCUGUUAUGUUGUGAGGAUCAGAGAAAAUUGCUUCUUCCUAAGCAUGUAAUGCAAUGUAAGCAUUCUUAGCCUAAAAUUCUCAAAAGAAAGUGAUGGAUUGAUGGCAAUAAUAUAUCACCACCAACAAACACAAAAGACUAAUUACAUGUAGAAGCAAACAAAAUCCCCUGAAGCUGGCAAUCUCAUUGUACAACUUUUGUAUCAAAUGCCUAUAGCUACGAGUUCCCUUUGUACAUUUCAAUUGAUUCAAUCUUUUUGGAGAUGAAUUAUGCAAAUAGGACACAAAUAUUUUUUCCAUACGUUUUAUGAGAAGGUCCCUAAAGAGAAUAGAUGCUAUAUUGUCACUGAUUCCAGUGCAUGAGGGAGGCAACAAUGACAUUUAAUUUCUAUACCACAUCCAAAUCGUCCAAAUUUGUUUGUCUUUGCAUCUAUGGGUAAUUUAUUAUAAUAUAGAGCCCUUCAAGUGAUGACUACUUGCUUGUUAGGGACCAUUUUAGCCAAACUUUUAGGUUUUUUCAGUUGCAUCCUUCUUAACUCUUAUUUGGUCCCAUAUUGAUGCUAUUGAGGAAGUACCAUUGUUAACGUUUUACUAAGUUUUCUUCAAUAGCCCCCGGAAAAGUGUACUCUAAUGUGCUCUAUAUCACCCCUUUUAUUAUGAGAAUUAGAGAUUGAUUGUGUGUUUUUCUAAUUACAGGGACAAGUUUAUUAAACAAGGGGCCAAUCAAGAAGAAGGUUGAAGGCGUACACUGGAAGUUUUUGCUUUUUGACCAUAAAUAUAUAUACAAUGGAAGUAUUUUUGGUUUUGGUUAUAUAUAUAUAUAUAUAACAACUGAAGUACUACUAUGCAGUUGAAUUUUUGGUAUUUAUAAUAUUUGACUUAAGAAUGCUUUUGUAUUAAUUUUGUGAAAUACUUUUAGAUGUUUUUAAUAGCUAUAUAUUAAUUUUAG
rnacentral:lncRNA from 1 species